rnacentral:lncRNA from 1 species
GAGGAGCCAAGGAGAUCAGAAACCAGACCAGCCUCAGCUCUUCUAAAACUCCAGGUAGACAGUGUCCGACAUGAGCUGCUACCAGGAAAGGUUUUCCUCGGAGGAUGACUACUGCACCUACGCGUCGAAAAUGGAGAAGAAGACAGACAUGACUAAAGGGCCUCACUUCCCUCAGCUUCACACUGUGAUCAAGCACAAGGAGGUCCAUAUGGAAGAGGACGAGUCACGCCCUGGAAUCUUUGGCCGGCCGAGGCACGAGGAGUGGUCUGAAGAGGAGACCUAUGAAAUGUCUGAGACCACCUACGCAGGCGACAUGGGCAUGAAAGGGGGAGAGCGCAUCAGGCGCAAGGUGUAUAUAUGAGACUAUCAUCUAUAUAUAGUUCUGUGGUGAUGGAUGCCAUGGCUUGGCAUCUUUAUAUAUAGAAUAAAUCUCGGGCUUAUCUGCUGUAUAUCCAUAUGAAUAAUACUAUACUUCUCUAGUACUCAAGCUAUAGCUCUAUACUUUAGCCUACUACAUUCACUCUUGAUAUCUUUAGUACGCGCGUGUUUUCAGGUAAAUUUUUUGAGAAUACUACCCAACUCUUUCCCCCUUCAUUUUGAUAAUAUAAUCGGGAAAGAAGUAGGCUAGUCUCCGCUUUGAAUCCUAAAUAUAUUGGUGCAAGAUCGACCGAUGGCAUUCUAAAAUGUUGAUCCAAGCCACUGAUAAUGAUAUAUAUAACAUGUAAGACAUCCGCAAGAAUCAAGUAUUUUGUAAGUUAUCUAUCUAUUAUGCAUCAAGGGGAUGCAAAUGGACGGCAUGAGUAGUGCUAAUGUGUUAAAAUGCAUGAUAGGGUGUGAGAAAAAUUUUGAAUCCAGUCCAUCGAUUAUGAUCGCUCCAUAGAAAGCAUAUGUCAAAUAAAGUUCAAUAUGUUUGAGCACUUCUAAGUCAUAUGUAAACAUGAACUAGAUCGAACAACAUGUAUGAUGAAACCUUUUUGUUUUUGAAGAUUGUUUAUAAAAGGUUUUUGAGCUUUUGGAAGCAAAGUUUAUAGCUUUCAUAAAAAGAGUGAAAAUAAAAUCAAGGAAUAGUAAAAGUUUUGUGCAGAUGCUACCUCGGACAUCAAUCUGCAUGUAGGAAUAGCCAAAUAGGACCUGCAACUCUGUUUCCUAGGGGAAAAAAAAAAAAGCUGAGAUUUUAGGGACGGUUGCAAAAUGUUGCAGUUCCCGUUUUCUUCAGAUUUUCUAAAGCUGGAACUUUCUCGGUUUUGUUACUUCAAGUUCCUUUCUGAGAACUCAGAAAUUCUAACAUAUUUCUGUAGCAAUUUCCGAAGCUGUUUUAAUGAAGCUGUAACUACUACCUAUCAUUAUGGUUUUUAACUUACAGGCUUGAAGCAUAACGCGCUCCCAGUUGCACCCCUAUUUUAAGUGUCUUUGGAGCAUUUUUCAAGACAAAACGAGAACAUAGGAUAAUUUUUGGCCCAGAUCUUGCCACAUAUCGCCGCAAGUGUUGGCUGAUUCUCCUUCUUGAUUAAAGCAGACAAUGCCAGUGAUCAAACACAACAUAAGUUCACGUAUAUAAGCAAUUCACUAAGAUCUACACCAAAGAGGUGCAGUGGCAAAGAAGCAACCAACUCAGAGAACCUUUGGAAGAAGGCUUAGCCCAAAGAAGGCACAAACUUUGCCCUCCCCUGAGGCCAUCCUUUCAGAUCCCUCGGUUCCCACCACCUUCUCUCUCCCUCUCUCCUGCGGACGUGCCGGUGCUGCAGCGCAGAGAGAGACCCUGCAUCAAUGCCAUGCGGAUUCGUGCAAAGCAAACUAACGUUCCCCAUGCCAAAAGCGGAUUACUCUACUGCCUCUAUAUAUAGAUCUCUUGCUUUCUUCUCAGCUCGCCACUCUUUCUUCCACCGAUUCUUCCAGAAUUAAUAUUAGAGCCAUGGCUGUCUUCCGUCGAGCCUAUUUGUUUCGAGAUAUCUUCCGUUGAUGAGUGACUUGCUCGUCUUUCAUGGUCACUUGACGACGUUGGUGCCCUGAAGUCGCGCCAAUGGCAACCUCGCGUUGACGUGGGGGGAAUUAAGCUCGUUUCUAUGGGUGCUCUUCUUGCUUUAUUUUCCGCUUUCUGCUCUCUAACGUAUGGGAAUUGAUUUGUGUGAGGUUGGAAGGGGAUCCAAGUGUAUGGUGAUAUAAUAGCAGCCUUAAAUAUCAGCUUUUUGCUAUUCUAAUAUUGGGUUCGGGUUGUAUCUUCCGUGGGAAAGAAUGAUUCAUCUUUUUUUUCCACGAGGUCAACCAUUGGAUUGUGCAACGGCCACUUUAAGAUCUGUGCAGGUGGAUGAAAAAAAAAAGAGUUUGGUGUGCUUUGGAUCAUUCUUUCACGUGAAAGAUACAACCUAGAUCCUUUGAUAUAUGCACAUUUCCGAAGUGGUCAAAGUGUUUACCAUAAAGAAGAUUGGAGUCUUGAGUGCUCAAAAGAUGUUCGUAGCUAUAAGUGAGGUUGCAUAUUGCACCUAUAAGACUUAUUGAAUGUAUAGUGAUUGUAUGGAGUUCCUCCUCCACCAAGAUGGUCAUGACCUCGCAUUAAGAAUUGGCUGUGUUGUUAUAUUGAAUAAUCAAUAUUAACAAUCCACUUUAAAAAUCAUUGUCAAGGAUAGAGAUGCGAACUUGGUUGAAAUAGCUUAUAAGUGGUCCCUUAACUUGAAAUAAUAGAAUACCUUACUACAAUUUUGUGACAAAAUCCAUGUAUUAAUAAUGAUACCCUUGAUAAGAGGCAUAGUGGUUUAUUGGAUUCAGAUACAAAUAAGGGUCUAGUUGUCCAACAUGAAAUCAACCAUAUGUUACAAUGUUAAUAUUAAAACAUAGAGAUGGUCAGACAUAUGAGACCCACAACCCAGCUAAUUACUUAAAGUUUUAAAAAUAAUUAUUUUGGAAAAAAAUAUUAUUAAGAACAAUGGUAAAUUAUUUUCAAAAGGUUUCAUGUGCAUUGAAAUCCAAUCCAAUCCACCACCAUAAGCUCUCUCACGCGCGCAUAUAUAUAUAUAUAUAUAUAUAUAUAUUCGUUAUAUAUAUAUAUAUAUAUAUAUAUAUAUUCGAAUUUGCCCCUCUUGGUUUCAAGUUAGCAUGUUUUAUAGAAUGGCAAUUUUAGAUGAAGUUUGGUCUAGGACCUCUAGGUAUAGAUGUGUAGGAAUAGAUUUGCACAAUUUGAUGAGUCGGUGAAUAUUUUGGUGUAAUUUGACAUAUUCAAUAUUCUAUUUUGCAUGGUUGCAAUUUUCUGUUUUCAAUUUUCCUUAAAAACUAAAGAAAUUGCCACGGGAAUGGUGUUUGAUAAUCUAUUUUCUUUUUUAGUUUUUUUGAAAACUUUUUCUUAGUUUCUAAAAAUUUAUGCAAGUUUAAAAUUUUGUUUCCAAAAUUUCUAAAAAUCAAACCACUCAUGAUCCUCCACCAUCAUCUUUGUUGCUAUUGCCUCUGUCACCACCUAUCAACCACUAUCCUCUCGCCAACCACAAUCAUCUCCACUAUCACUGCAAUCAGCAUUGCUAACAUUGCUGCCAAAUGCAUUCCAUGCAACCAUUAGAUGUUAGGUUUUUGAUUGAAGGAGGCUUGUUUGAGGAAUCUCUUUUAGAGAUGUAACGUGAAAGAUAAAUGGAGAAUCGACCUUGCGACCUAGAGAGGGGAAUUUCAAAAAAUUCGAUGAAAAGAGAGAAAAAGAAGGGAAUAUAUAUUUGUGGUGUGGUUAACUAAGCUGAUUGAUAUUGAUGGUAUUCGAAUUUGAUAAGACAAGGAUUAGAAUUCUUUCAUAUGAAGUAUGCGAAUGAAGAACUGGUGGUCUAGAUCAUUGAGGAAUGAGAAUAAGAAAGCGAGCAAUGAAGAUAGGAGGUGGGUCCUAAAAUUUAAAGGGGCAAGGAGGCUGCACUGGAACUAUUUGGAAAUCCCAAGAACAUUUAAUUUCUCAGGAUGGCCAUGGCCCUUGCCCCCUCCCCUGCCGGUUCCAGCAUUCACAAACUGAUGCAUUCUUUUAGUCUUCUAAAUCUACUUCAUAUAGUUUCUAGGAGCUUGGGUUGUCUCUAUGGUUCAUAAACCUUACAAGAAUGUUUACCUUCUGAUGUCAGCAUAUGAUAUAUAACGAUGACAAGUGCCUCUACCUGUGGGUCGAUGAAGAAUGGUAUGAUCAAUUCAGGUUUCCAAGCACAGAAGAACGGUACAAAGAUAGCAGCAGCAAGACAUUCAAACAUUGUUGAUCUCAGAAAACCAUGUUGCCCAUGCUGUAACGCAGCACUGGUUUGUAAGCUAGGAAAUGAUCAAGGAAUAGGAUGGACUCCAAUGGACACAGGCCUAUGUGAACUUGGAGAGGAGCACUGUACUAGUAAAGUGAAUGCAACUCAGCUAUGGUGCUCAUAUUCUGCCCCUAUGUAAAUUUCAAACUUCUCUCUUUUUCUUCUUGGGAAAUAUCGAACCUAUUCAACCAUCUGAUGGUGAUUACAAACAUUUUAAACUAACUUUUUCCAGAGCAAUUCCAAACGGUGGAGAAAUUGUUUGCAUAUGAUGAGGUAUGGGAUCACAAAGUAAUAUAAUUAUUGUCGAGUAUAUCUUUGAGUUUACGGGCUCUAGAAAGGCAAAAAAAAUCUUUUCCCCCAUGAGAGAAGCAAGUGGUGCAGAGUGCAAAGAGCGAAGCAAGCAUUAGCAUCCUUGUUUUAUUUGGGCCGCACAGGAUGAGAUAAAUUUAUUUAUAUAUUGUUCUAGAAACCGACAUUAGCAUCAGUGGGUGCUUCCAAUACCACCCAAAGCUACUGCAUCAAGGUUCAAAUUCAUGCAAUAACACUAGCCGCCUGACGCAGACAGAAGUUAGAGGAUUAGAUGCGCUUCUUAUCUUUUUUCUUUUUUUUUGGUACAGAUGCACUUCUUAUCUUCAAGGAAUAAAUAUCAUAAGGCUUGGUCUAUAAAAAGGAGGAGCCAAGGAGCUCAGAAACCAGACCAGCCUCAGCUCUUCUAAAACUCCAGGUAGACAGUGUCCAACAUGAGCUGCACCUACGAGUCGAAAAUGGAGAAGACAAGCAUGACUGAAGGGCCUCACUCCCCUCAGCUUCACACUGUGAUCAAGCACAAGGAGGUCCAUGAGGAAGAGGAGAAGCCACGCCACGGAAUCUUCGGCCGGCCAAGGAACAAGGAGUGGUCUGAAGAGGAGACCUAUGAAAUCUCUGAGACAACCUACGCAGGCGACAUGGGCAUGCAAGGAGGAGAGUGCAUCAGGCGCAAGGAGUAUAUAUGAGACCAUACAUCAAGGCAGCUUGAGAGCAUCAUCUAUCUAUAGUUCUGUGAUGAUGGAUGCCAUGGCUUGGCAUCUUUAUAUAUAGAAUAAAUCUCUGGCUUAUCUACUGUAUAUCCAUAUGAAUAAUACUAUACUUCUCUAGUACUCAAGGUAUAGCUCUAUACUUUAGCCUACUACAUUCACUCUUGAUAUCUUUAGUACGCGCGUGUUUUCAGGUAGAUUUUUUGAGAAUACUACACCAACUCUUUCCCCCUUCAUUUUGAUAAUAUAAUCGGGAAAGAAGUAGGCUAGUCUCCGCUUUGAAUCCUAAAUAUAUUGGUGCAAGAUCGACCGAUGGCAUUCUAAAAUGUUGAUCCAAGCCACUGAUAAUGAUAUAUAUAACAUGCAAGACAUCCGCAAGAAUCAAGUAUUUUGUAAGUUUUCUAUCUAUUAUGCAUCAAGAGGAUGCAACUGGACGGCAUGAGUAGUGCUAAUGUGUUAAAAUGCAUGAUAGGGUGUGAGAAAAAUUUUGAAUCCAGUCCGUCGAUUAUGAUCGCUCCAUAGAAAGCAUAUGUGAAAUAAAGUUCAAUAUGUUUGCUUCUAAGUCACAUGAAAACAUGAACUCGAUCCAACAACAUGUGUGAUGAAACCUUUUUGUUUUUGAAGAUUGUUUGUAAAAGUUUUUGAGCUUUUGGAAGCAAAGUUUAUAGCUUUCAUAGAAGGAGUGAAAAUAAAGCAAGGAAUAGAAAAAGUUUUGUACAGAUGCCACCUUGGACAUCAAUCUGCAUGUGGUAUUUCACUAAUAUAGGAAUAGCAUUGAUAUCCUUGAUAAGGGGCAUAGUGGUUUAUUGGAUACAGAUACAAAUAAGGAUCUAGUUGUCCAACAUGGAAUCUACCAUAUGUUACUAUGUCGAUAUUAAAACAUAGAGAUGGUCAGACACAUGAGACCCAGAGCCCAGCUAAUUACAUAAAGUUUUAAAAACAAGUAUUUUGGAAAAAUUAUUAUUAAAGGCAAUGAUUAAUUAUUUUUAAAAGGUUUCAUGUGAAUUGAAGUCCAAUCUAGUCCACCUGCAUAAGAGCAUAUAUAUAUNNNNNNNNNNNNNNNNNNNNNNNNNNNNNNNNNNNNNNNNNNNNNNNNNNNNNNNNNNNNNNNNNNNNNNNNNNNNNNNNNNNNNNNNNNNNNNNNNNNNNNNNNNNNNNNNNNNNNNNNNNNNNNNNNNNNNNNNNNNNNAUAUAGAUGUGUAGGAAUAGAUUUGCACACCUUGAUGAGUCGGUGAAUAUUUUGGUGUAAUUUGAUAUAUUCAAUAUUCUAUUUCGCAUGGUCGCAAUUUUUUGUGUCAAUUUUUCUUAAAAAAUAAAGAAAUUGACAUAAGAAUGGUGUUUGUUGAUCUAAUUUCUAUUUUUAGUUUUUUUGAAAACUUUUUCUUAGUUUCUAAAAAUUUGUACAACUCUAAAAUUUGGUUUCCAAAAUUUCUAAAAAUCAAACCACUCAUGCCCCUCCACCAUCAUCAUUGUCGCUAUUGCCACAAACACCUUCGAUGUCACCCAUCAACCACCAUCCUCUCGCCAACCACAAUCAUCUUUAUUAUCACAUCAAUCGACAUUUCAAAUGCAAUCCAUGUAACCAUUAGACGUCAGGUUUUUGAUUUUCAAAAAAAAUAUUUUUAAUUUUUGAAAAACUAUAAGUUGGAAGUUGUUUCAAACAUUAUUAGAAAGCAAUGAAGUCUAGCAUCACAUAAUAUUUUCUAAAAACUUUUAAUUCCAAAACGACAACCAUGUACUUAGUUUCUAACAUGCAUCACAUGUGCCCAAUGCUAGCUAGAUUUGAAGCAAAUGAUGAUUCCUUUUCUAGAAGUGGUAAUAGCAUCACAUGUGCCCAAUGCUAGCUAGAUUUGAAGCAAACGACGAUUCCCUUUCUAGAAGUGGUAAUAGCGUGGCCGGUUGAAAUUAUCAUGUUUAGUUAAUCGAUUCCCAGAUUCAAAUUACAUCUAAUAACAUAAGACCCAAACUAGAUUUACAAACCUAGCCCAUAUCCAAACUAGUGCCUAAUUAAUUUCGUGCCUAGGGUGAAGAGCCAAGUGCCUAGGUGAAGGGCUCUUGUUUCACAUGAGUAUUUAUCUAUGUUGUAUGUUUAUCUAUCAUUGAUUUAAGCAUACAAAUAUUCAAUCUACAUUAAAAUUAAGAAAAGAGAGCAUUCAAACUUAUGAUUUCUAUAUAAGCACCCAUAAGUUGUUCCUCUUUAGCAAUUAUGUCGCAUUGCAAGCUUGUCAUCUUUCUACAAAAAUAUAUUAUUUAGAUGAAAACAUCCUAGAAUAUCUUCUUAUUAGGAGGCUGCUCUUCUAAAUUCCUUAAUACAUUAUAAAAUUUCACCUUUAUGUAAGUCUGAAAUAUGUUAAGGUUGGCAAAAGGAAAGCCUGAAAGAGGCAGUGAGUCAAUGAGGAGUCGUUGACCCAAAGAACUUUUUCAUGUUUAUUCCCACCCCCGCUAGGGUUUCGUUAAAUUGGUUCGCCCGCAAACCCUAGCUCCGAAAUCCUUCCCUCAACCCCUCCCAUCCCAUGCGCUGUUCUUGAAAUCCCCCCAAUCGUAAGACAGCAGCAGCUCAAACUCCAACCAACAAUGGCGAGACGAGGCCUCCUCCUUCUCCGGCAAUUCCUCCGCGACUCGGCCGCCGCGUCCUCCUCCCCUCUGCCACUGAGAGCCCUCGCCUCCGCCGAGAGCCGGCGGUCGGUGACCUACAUGCCCCGCCCCGGGGACGGGGCGCCGCGGGCGGUGACCCUGAUCCCCGGCGACGGGAUCGGCCCUCUCGUCACCGGCGCCGUCCGGCAGGUCAUGGAGGCGAUGCACGCCCCGGUCUACUUCGAGACCUACGAGGUCCACGGCGCAAUGGACACCGUCCCGUCGGAGGUCAUCGAGUCCAUACGGAAGAACAAGGUCUGCCUCAAGGGCGGCCUCGCUACCCCCGUCGGCGGUGGGGUCAGCUCCCUCAACGUCCAGCUCCGAAAGGAGCUCGAUCUCUACGCGUCCCUCGUCAAUUGCUUCAACCUCCCCGGCCUCCCCACAAGGCACCAGAACGUCGACAUCGUGGUCAUCAGGGAAAAUACGGAGGGGGAGUACUCGGGGUUGGAGCAUGAGGUGGUUCCCGGUGUUGUCGAAAGCCUCAAGGUAUAAUCUUUACUCUGUCUUGCCUGCCGCCACUUGGAUCUCCGUAUUGAGGAACAUAUGCAUUGGCAAAUGUAAUCUCUUUCGCACUUGAUUACGAUUUGGGUCAAUAUACUUUAUAGGUUUGGUUUUAGCUAUAUGGUUAUGUGUAACUGAUGAGGGUGAGAGAGUGCUAGGUAUAUAGGAAGAAUUGUAGGGGAAGUAAAGGUUUUGAUCUUUCGCAAGAGGAUUGAUAAUUUUAUGUUUAUGUUAAGGCAUUCUGUAAAGGAGAUGACAAGGAAAGUAGAAAAAGGAUGUUAGAAAGAUGUCCGAUUUGAAGCACGCGGUUAGGACAAAAAUUUGAUCAUCAAAUUCAGCUUCAAAUUGUGCAUUUGAGAGACUGAUGAUUUUUCGUGAUCCUUUAUGUCAAUAUUUGCUUUUUAUGCCAUGCUGGAGUAAGGACUCAAUCAAGAAAGACCAAUUCUUGGCAACAGGACCUCGGUCUGCUCGUUGGAACACACGCACAUACAGAGAGAGAGAAAGGAAGGGAGGGAACGAAAAUUACAAGUCAUUGUCGGAGGGGAGGACUCUGUGACAGUGGAAUCUGAGAGGCAUUAAUGAUACUUUGAUAAGAGUACCUCAAAAAAGAUAGCAAAGAGAGAACUAUGGAUAUUGAGAGAAGUUGUAGUGGAGGAGGCAUCCUCCCCUCCACAGUCAUGUAGCCUAAAAUUAUAUGGAGAUAGGUUAUAAAGGUGUGAAAUAAUAAUUGCUGGUGCAUUAAAAUUGAGGAGGGUGAGUUGGAGAAGAGAUAUGGUUGUCUUAAGUGUUCUUUUGUUGUUAGCAUGAAGGAGCCCCUACUUGGAGGGAUGGAUAUUGAUUAUGGAUAUACAAGUGAUAUUGGGUAUACUGGGACAUUGAGCAUUCUAAGAUGAUGAUUACUUUGUAAAUCACAAUGUAUUAAAAAGCGGAUGGCAAGCAUGUAGCUGUCGGGUGUUUCGUGGUGGAUAGCAGAUAGUGGACACUAUUGUAGGCACCAUGAACCAAAACAGGCCGCUAAAACAUGCCAAUAUUUUUCUUUCUAAGUACGAAAAAAGAUCAAUAUCUUAUGCCAUAACAGCAACAAUUUCCCAUAAUUCCUUGCUAUUAUAGCAAUAGCAUCAGGGGAAGAGUCAAAUCCUUUUUAUUUGUGUGCCAUAACAGCAAGGAACAGGGGAAUGCGAUUGAAAUAACAGCCAGAGGCCCAGAAAUCUACUUUUUUGCUGCUUAGAUUGGAAGUAAACAAAAAAUAGGGAAGAAGAAAACAAGAAGGGAAAGGAGGAUGGAGCAAACAGAAAAAUAGAGGUACAACAUGCCUCUACUUCUGCCAUACUGCCACCACCUUCCUUUACAUCCUUUUUAUCUGGGUCUUAUUGUUUAGUUGUUGCCACACUUGUGAUUACCUCAUCACGUUCUCCUCCAUUCUCAUCUAUUCCUUUCCCUAAUAGCUUUACCUUUCCCUUCAUUGCAAAGGCCAUUUCCACCCUUAGCUGUGCCUCCUAAGGUGUCUAGAUUCACUAUGAGGUGUUGAGAUGUGAAUUCUAAUCCAACAUUUACAUGGCAAGGGCUCUCCAUAGAUUUCAUUCUUCUUUUCUAGACAUUGGAUCUGCUCAACAGCUCUUCUAUUUGAGUUCUGAGACAUUGUGUUAAUCUUGUGAAAAAUGACAAUUAAUUGGUAUGUAAAGUCUGAGGUGAGAGAAAUGAUGUAUUUUGAAGUGUGAUUGCACUUGGGUAUGCUAGGAAGGCUUAGUAGAAUGUUGGGCAUCUUUGUUUAACAGAAUGCUGGUCGUGAGGAAUAUUAUGACCUGGAAUUUGAUGGUGUUGAGGUUCACGAGGCAUGGGUUGUUGCCACUAGGAGGGAAGCUGUUUGAUGACAUACUAGUGAAGAUCAUGUUGUUGUGAAAUUUGAUGGUUUCAGGGUCUGGUUGGAACGGGAGAUGGACUAAGGGAAUUGUCUGAUCAAUGCUUGAGACAGAUGUCAUUUUUUGGAGCUGCAUCAUUUCUUGUUAUGCACAAAUUAACUGAUAUACAAAGGUGCAGAGUUCUUCAAACAGAUUUAUUAUAGAUUAGUGUAGAGUCUGUAGACCCAAUGGAGCCACAAUGGCAGUGUGCUCUUGGCUUGUGCACAACUUGCAGACUCGGAUCAAGGGAAACGAGUUCAUGCUUACAUUAAUAAGAAAUGUUUGGCUUUAGAUGAUGACAAUAAUACUGGGGCUUAUCGAUAUGUUUGCCAGGGAACUGUAGGUCUUAAAAAUGUGCAGUUGGAGAGUAUUGUGAAGCCCGAUGAAGUCACUGUGGUUAUUGUGCACUUGAUGAGUGUAAAGCCUUGUAUCGAGGGAAAUGGGCCCAUGUUUACAUCAACAAGAACCGGAUGAGUUUAGAUGAUGACAGUAAUUUUGUGGCUGUGUUGAUCAAUAUGUAUGCCAACGCAUUGUAGCUCUUCAACUUAUGCAGUUGCAGAGUCGUGUAAAGCCCAAUGAAGUCACAGUGUUGAGUGUGUUCCUCUUGUCUUGUGGACGGCUGGCAAACUUGGGUCAAGGAAAACAGAUCCAUGCUUACAUAAACAAGAACUUGAUGACUUUGAUGAAAAUAAUCUUUGGGGCUAUGUUGAUUAAUUUGUGUGCCAUGUUGAAGCAUAAAGACUGCUUAAUCUUUUCCAUGAAUUCAACAAGAACUUGAUGACUUUGGUGAAAAUAAUCAUCAGGGCUAUGUUGAUUAAUUUGUAUGCCAUGUUGAAGCAUGGAGACUGCUUAAUCUUUUCCAUGAAUUGGGUUGAAAGAAUGUUUCUAGCUCAAACUCCCUGAUCAUAGAAUUGGCAAUCAAUGGGCAAGCUUACAAUGUUCUUGAUGUCUUUCAGCAGAUGUAGGCAUUAGGGGAGGAACGAAAUGACAUAACCUCUUUGGGGAUAUUAAUAGCCUGUCUUCAUGGUGGAUUGGUUCAUGAGGGGGUAGAUACUUUGACAGGUUUUAUGGGAUUCAUGCCAAGAUGAGGUAUUAUGGUGGCAUAGUUGAUCUCUUAGACCAAGUUGGGCUGUUGGAAGAGGCAGAAGGGAUCAGCAGAAGCAUGUCGAUGAAACCAGACAUGAUGGUUUUGGGUGCCUUGCUCAAUGCCUAGGAUUCACAGAGACGUGAUUGUUGCAGAUAAAGUAAGAAGUGAAAUUCUUAAAUUGAAGGCUCACCAAUCUGGUUGCCAUGUUUUAGUCUAAUAUCCAUGCCUCUAGGGUUAGAUGGCAUGAUGCUUAGGAGAUGAGUAUCCUUUGUGACUUUUGGGUGCUUAUUUCGAGUGUUUUGGUGCUAAAAAGCCGCAUCUAAAGCCAUCUGACUGUUGCAGUGGUUUUUGUAGGGGGUAAUUCUGCAAAAAAAAAACUUUCUGCUAUACCAAUUGAAUGUUGGAGAAUUUGGAGGCAAUUCAUGCAGAGGAGUAUUCAAGUCAUUUACGCUUGAAGGGCGACCUUUUGAUGUUUGCAUGAGGCAGAAAUCUAAUUGCAGUGGUAGCACUACAAAAGAGUAUAAUGUGAGGGGUGUAUAUGCAGAAAACCCUAAUAGAUAUUGCUAGGUCCUAUAAUUUAUUCUGUAUCAAACAUCAAGCACCAUAUGCUACCAUCAUGGCAAGAAGAUACGUUGUAUCUUAACGCUUCAUCACAUGUAAUUUAUGCCAAAUAUUUGUAUACAUAAUUACAGCUUAAUAUACAUGACUUAGAUCAAUACACUUAUAUAUUGCAAAAAUCAAUAGACAUAUUAUAUAAAUGCCAUGUAUUUAAUUGCCACUCACUUUUGUUGCUAAAUUGGAUUAAUUCAGUGUUUGACAAUUUCAGUUUCAGUUGAUAAAAGAAUAUUUCUUGUGACCUAGUAAACAUGACAACAUUACGUGGGCCAUUUUUCUGGAUUGUUUGACAUGCAGUAACAUUUUCUUCUUUGCCAGUUUGUUGUGCCCUGUAAUUUUGUUUCUUGUUUUUUCCCCUAACCAGAAACCUUUCCAGGUGAUGACAAAGUUCUGUUCAGAGCGCAUUGCAAAAUAUGCUUUCGAGUAUGCAUACCUGAACAAUCGGAAGAAAGUUACAGCUGUGCAUAAGGCCAAUAUUAUGAAGCUUGCAGAUGGUCUAUUCUUAGAAUCUUGUCGUGAGGUUGCAACAAAAUACCCAGUGAUAAAGUACGAUGAAAUCAUUGUGGACAACUGUUGUAUGCAGCUGGUGUCGAAGCCUGAGCAGUUUGAUGUCAUGGUACUUUUCUCUAUCUUUUUUCAACAUUUACAGUGCAGAUGUUUAUUUUUCUAGUCAUCUUAUUGGUUGGCCUGAUUGUUCUAUCCGUUAAUUGCUUAUGUCAAUGGUCUCUUUUAUCUCAAUGUUGAUAGAUUUAAAGAUAUGCAGUAUAUAACGUUUGAGUUGUACUGCAUCAUAUAAUUCUUUAUCUCACUAUCAUUUGCUGUAUAGUUAUUUUCUGCAUCUAUGGAAUCUUUAUUGGAUCCUUUGAUUAAUCUGAUAUUACAUUAGGUACUUGAUGAUGGAAACAUUUGAAUUGUAUUUAAGUGAUUUAUUAAAUUUCUUGACCUGUAUUUAUAAAUGAAUCCAUCUUUUAUGCAAUCAUGCGAUAACCAUUGUAUCUAAUGAUGAUAGAUUUCGGACUACUAUAUCAGGAACUUUUGAAGAAGCACAUGGACAAUGUCAAAAUGGAUAACAGCAAGACAGCUGAAAAAGUUUAUACUCUUUUAAGUCUCGAACAUAUUACCAGGAAAAGAUUGUUGCUUGAAUUCAUUAGUUUUAGAGCCUCUAUGCAGGUUAGAGGGCUAUGUUUUGUGGCAGAAUGGACAUUGCUUGGUUGUACAAAAUGGCCUUCUGGGUUUGUAGAUAGGUUUUAUGAACCGUCAUUUUUCCAAAGUGGGUUUAUCAAAAGCGACCAAACAAGUUUUUUUCUACAUCAUUAUUCUAAAGGUUUUAUACAAAUCCAUUUUCUUAAAACUUGGCACCAAACAGUCCAUUGGAGAUUGGAACAGAACCGGCAACUCUAUUAUGGAAAAUUAUAUAAUUUGAUUAGGUUCAAGUUACACCUGAUGUAGUUCUACAAGAGUUACACCUUUUUUGAAUUGAACAAUGGGGGUCACACAUUGAUUAUCCAAGCUAUUAGAUGUGAUUUACUACUUCUAAACUACUUACACAUCAAAAAUCAUAUAAUCUGGAGAUCUCUAGGCUAUGCAUCAAGUGGUCAAAAAUUUGCAAUUUAGAGAACACAAUAGUACAUAUUUUUUGACUACUUGAUACAUAAAUUAGAGGUCUCUUAAUCACAUAAUUUUUGGUAUGUAAGUAUUUUAUAGAUAGUAGAUAAUAUUCAAUGGUUUGGAUCAUCAAUGUGGAUACUCAUUGUUCAUUUUUUUCAGAAAAAGGUGUAACUCAAUGAGAGUUAUACCAGAUUUAACUUGAUCUUUUGUAAUUUAAUGGAAAGUAAAAUGGUUUUAAACUACUCCUUUGGGGUUAGAAUAAAGUUAAAUGGUACUGAACUACUCCUUUGGGUUUAGAAUCAUAUGAACUGCUUAUUACUGGUUCGUUUUAUGUCCCACUUGAUGCAAAGCCAACAAACCUACAAUACAUGGCUAAGUUUCAAUUAAAAGAAUAACAUGAACAAGUGCAAGUGGUUUAAAUGGCAUGAAAUCAGUAGAGAUAGUUCAUUUGAUUUGAAGCAAAGAAAACUCCAAAACAUCUCAUCAUUGGUUCUAGACAUUUUAAAUGCAGUAGAUAAUACCAAAAAAAUGCAGUAGAUCAUGGUUAGCCUAUUACUUAUUUUGCAUUGCGUGGUUCGCCCCCAAAUCCCACUGCCAGGAUCCUCUCUCUCGCUCUGUGUGUGCGCGCGCGCACGCGCCUGUGCACAUUUAUUUCCAUCAACAUUUCAUUUCUUUGCUUGUAUCAUGCAUAUUUGUUCUUAUUCGCAGGUUACACCAAAUCUGUAUGGCAAUCUGGUGGCGAACACAGCUGCUGGUAUUGCUGGAGGCACCGGUGUAAUGCCAGGAGGUAACUAAUUCUCGAUAGACACUUAAAUGCAGUUUCAUUUUGGUCACUUGGAUUUGUCUUUAUUUUGUAGUAUGCUUAUUACUGCUUCCAGCACUAGGGAAUGGUCUGCACUGUUACCAUUUCCUUAUACAAGCACUACUUUUUGUUAACUUGUGUAUAAACAUAGGGCCUUGGGCUAUGCAUGAACCUAAAAAUCGUGAAGCCUUAUUGACUGCAAUUUUUAGACUGUCAUGCUGGCUGUGUGCAAAACAAAUUAUGCAAACAAUCAAAUAAUCUGUCGUCCUCUUCAUGUGCCAUAGCUGAAGGUCAGAAUGGGGGCGUUAAUGCAAUCACAUAAUAGACUUUAUAGAUUACUAGAGUCUUGCACAUGUGGUGAACGUGCACAAGCUUCUUUUUUUUCUUAGGGGAGGGUCGUCAGUGCUUGCAGGAAAACCUUUUUUUUUUCCUGAGAGGAUCAAGUAGGAAAAGAGGGGACUCUGAGAUGAGUAUUUAAUUUGUUGGGGGACUCUUAAGCUGCAGGCCUUCGUGAAGCUGGCCUGAAGGCUUUCCCAUUAUAGUAGAUACCAGUUCGCUUUGCUGAGUGCAGUAAUUGAUAUUAUUUUUUGGCUGGCUGUCAAUCAGCAUGUUUCUUUGAUGUUCUAUUUUGUUGUCUUGAGUUGUGUCAUGGUGCAUUGUAUGCUGGAAUCUGCUCCAUGCAUUUGAGUGGUUUUCGGGUGGGGCAUUGAAAUGCUUUCAAGCAGCUGCUGAGGAUGUAUUCUUUAAUUGACAUCAUAUUUCUUUACUGUCAACAACUUCACAUUUUUUAUUUCCCUUUUAUCUUUUGUCAGGCAACGCCGGUCAAGAUCAUGCAGUUUUUGAGCAAGGUGCUUCCGCUGGCAAUGUAGGAAACCAGAAGAUAGUGGAACUGAAGAAGGCAAAUCCAGUAGCUCUUCUUCUUUCCUCGGCAAUGAUGUUGAGGCAUCUCCAGUUCCCUUCAUUUGCUGACCGGCUAGAGACCGCUGUCAAGCGAGUAAUUUUGGAAGGCAAAUACAGGACCAAAGAUUUAGGAGGGGUUAGCACCACCCAAGAAGUUGUUGAUGCAGUCAUAGCAGCGCUGGACUGAUGAUCCUGAUCUUUUUGCCGAGUAUUGUUGCGGACAACAGAUCAUUUGCUUCUCCUAAAAUAUUAAUUUUGUUUUAUGACCUAAGUAACUUUGAUAUUUACAACUCCCACUAUGGCAACCUGAUUUCAGAAACAUGAUUCUUUUUCUUUAGAUGAUUCAAUUCUUGUCCAAUAUAGAUGUAUCUGGAUUUCAAGUUAUUUCAUGUAAAGUCAUAAAUUGGAAAUAAACAGGCAGAGGCAUUCUAAAUAAUAAUAAAUUUACUGUGUUAUCUCUCUGGCAGUUUGGCAGUUUGGGGGUCUACUAGUUGGACAAUGGAUGCUAUUUUGGCUUGCACGAGCUAAGAGUAACUAGAAGCUGGCAUUUUGAGUUUAUUGCAAUGCAAUUGAUUGGUCUAAUCCUUAGCUGAAAAUGCCAUUCCCAUGGCAUGAUACCAGGUACAGUUGUUUGUCUUUAAAAAGCGGUUAAAACAAGAGCCACACUGGUUUGGAGAGGGAGGGGAGAGGGAGGGAGCAUGGACUCUCAUGAGUACUUCCUGAGGACGAUGCACCGAGUGGAUGACCUAGGAGAGCUUUUGGAUCGGUUGGUGGGUGAUCGGCCGACCAUUGGAGCAAGCGAGAAAGGAAACUGAAUUUGGCAUGCGAUUGUAUAGGAUUGGAUUGCACACAAUCAGGCACAAGAAUCUGCAGUCAAAUUUUCAGCUGUAUCUGAGCUUUGAAAUUCUCAUUUCUUUCUAUGAGGGAAGUAAACUAAAUAAAAAACUUAAAAAGUUUUAGAAAAUUAUGAAUUGAUGAUUCCUUAACAAAUUCCUUGGUAUUUCAAAUCCAUACUGUUUGGUUCUCAAUCAUGUCAUAGCCGCCACCUCCUCCCACAUCUUCUCUUUCCCUCCUGCCAUUUUUUGUUCCCACUCUUUCUUCACUUCAUGUGUAUCACACACAUCUUUUGCCUGUCAGCCUUAAUGAUUGUGCAUGAAGUUUCCUGAAGUUACAUAAAUUUGGCCUUAAUAUUUGGAUGCCAUCCUCGAUCAAAACUUGUCAUUGAUUAUCGGAAUCUUUUCUAUGUUUCAUUAGCUCCCUUUGUUGCCUCUUGUGCUAAUGAAUUUUAUAUAAUUCUUUCUAAAAUAUUUUGAGGUUUCUUUAUAACUUAAGACCCAUAUUUUGCCAAUGAUUCUAUAGUUAGCUUGUCCCUGUCGUAGGUAAAUGGCAACCAAUGAAUGGCAAAAUUGAUCUUGGUGCUAUUAUAUUGUGUCUCUCAAUUAUUGAAAACAACCGAAGGUAGUGCAUGAAUUAAUUAGUUACAUUUUGUGCAACUUUUAUCAAUCAGUAAAUACACUGUUAUCCAUCCAAAGACUCUGCGAUAAAGCUCUCUGAAGAAUCCCAAUAAGGAUAACAGGUUAGGUUAACAUUGAAAGUUGAGGAAAGAAAGAGGAGUAUAAUAUAGUUAAAAAGGCAAUAAUAAGGAAGGUAGCAUUUAAUAGGAAAUUUAUGGAGAACUGAAAAUAUCUAUUUGCAAUGCUUAAAAAAUAUUUUAGUUUGAGAAUACACGAGCAUGGUUAACCUUAUCAAUAGCUGAAAUGUUUGAACUUCUAGUUGUCUGCUGUUCAUGUAUUAAGCUGAAAUGUUAUCCAUCAGUUUAUGGUCGAUAAUCCCUUCAAGCCUAGAAGUCCAUGCCACAUUGUGGCCAAGCUUUAUAGACACAACAGGGAUAUUUUCAUCGACUAGUCCUUUUCAAAAAUUAAAUGGAGAUGUUAGCCUGUUGAACUUCAUUAUAAAAAUUAUGUUCUCCAAGUUUAAACCUGAAUUUGAUUUCUAUAAAUAUAUCUAUUAUAAAUCAAUUCACAAUCAACAUUACAUAAGGCAAAUUUUAUCUCUUUGCUGUUUAUAAAUGAGUUAACAGGUGCUACUCUUUUCAUGAUUCGGCAAACACUACUGAUAAUGUUUUUGAUUCCACCCGUCAAAAAUGAAAUACUGAAAUAAAGAGACAAUGCAAGAAUGUAAAUUGUUUUUCAAAAGAAGGCUGUUAAGGAGUUCUUGAUAGAAAUGAAGCAUUUAUUAUAAUGAUCUUUUGAUUCUAAGCAGUUCUGAAACAAACUGAUGAUGACAAGCAGUUGAUUCCUCUUUACCACCUUCUCUGUGAGGCCUCCUGCUCGCCGAAACUCCUCUUUAGGAAAGAAGAAAUAACCAAGAAAUAAUAUCAUUUGUUUCCCAAAGAAACAUCAAUGUUUAUUUAGGGAGGCAUCAAUACUAUAUUACUACCAUGUUAGAAAGAUCUUAAAAUUAGAGUAAUUUUCUUACCAUGCGAUUCUUGAAAACCACAGGGGGAAAUAUAAACCCAAUUUGCUACCUGAUCUUCAUGACAUCCCUAUUGCUAACCAUAACUAAUUUUUUUGAACAGAAUAUUCUUCUUUCACUCAUCUUUUUUUAAAAUGACAAAGGAUAAUUUGAUAUUUAAACAAUUUUUGCUUCAUAAAAAAUGAAAAUGGAAAUACAGUUGAUCAGAACUCAUCCCUUAUUUCAUCCCUCUCAGCCAGCAACCGCCGCCCUAAAUCCGUCCUCUCAUGCUACAGCUCUAACAAAGGGCUUUUUUUUGGGAAAAAACCAACACUAAUAAAAAAUAUUUUUUUCAGAAACCUAAAAACAACCACCUCCAAAGUCCAAUAACUAUUCUAUUCUAUCAUUCAUAUGAGUUGAUGAUACCUAUGAAAAGGCUUAUGAGUAAGAUACCUCUAUUCUCUUCUCUUCCUCUAUUUUCUGUCUUCCAUCUCCAACUGGAAGCAAUCCAGCUUAAAUGGAUCAGUAGUACUACACGGUGAAAAAAAGAUAUGAUCUUUAAUGUAUCAUGCUGUAUGCAUGGUCACGUGUAAAUGAAGUAUAUAAUGCACUCCCUCCUUUACCAUGUACAUCAUACACAAGUUUUCAUAUAAAGCUACAUAAAGAGAUAAAAGAAAAGCAUUUUCAGUCUAUCUUUUGACUAGCAUAAUGGAAAUCGAAAAAUUCUUCCCAGGAAAAAAAAGAAAAAGAAAAAAACCUAAUCCCAAAGAUUAGUUAAUGGGAACCAAACCAUCAAUCAAACACCCUCUUUCCAUUCUACAAGUGCAUUAGCAAUCCAUAUCAUCAAUAAAUAGACAAAAAAAUCUCAUUCUGAUGUCAUCAGAUGUGGAACCAUUAUCAUCCAUCAUAUACACAUUCCCCUUCAAUCAUUUAUGUGAGUCAUAUAAGAGCUGAGCCCCAGCUUCUGCCUUUUUUCAACUGCCACUAUUAUAUUAACUACUUUUUGCCACAGUUGUCAUUUUGUAUUCCAUAUCUUUGAAAGAUGAGCACAAGAGGAGUGCUAUAGUGUAAAAAAAAAUCGCUUAUCUAAGCAUGUUAGAGUUUCGAAUCAUGAAAGUUUCAUCACAGCCAUCAAUCAUAUACACCUCUGCCUUGGACCAGUCACAUAUGCACAUUAACUGCCAGCAUUCUGAUGUACAAACACCACAAUAAUUAUAGUUAAUCCUACACCUACAUAUGUAUAAGGAAUCAAUCAAAAGAGCUGUUCUCCUUAUUUUUUGGGCAAGAAUCCAUCUCGGUUUAAGAAUUCACCCAAUUGAUUCAGAACCUGAAACCAUUACCAACGAAAAAGAAGGUGUUAGAAAGCGGCUUCGAAAGAAACUCUUAAAAGAAGAAGAAUGCUGCGAGCAAGCCUGUUAAGCUACGAUUGAGUCUAAGUCUUUCCAAAAAGGGUAACUUUAUUGAUAAGUUCCCAUAAUAAUACCUUUCUAAUCGAUAAUUUACAACAACUGAAACUGAAACUGAUGCCCACACCAAACGAGAUAACUCAGUUGGCUUAGGAUGUGUAUUAAUUGUAUAUAAUUGAUCAAGGCUGCUAUGAGGUAAGAUCUGUUAUUACUAAUGCUAUCACUACUGGAUGAAAGCAGCUAUCUUUAUGUGCAUUGUUCCUGGAUGCAUUGCUAGGCUUCAAUUAAUGUUUGCUAUCUAUAUCUUCCAAUCUAACAUUAUCUUCAUGAUCAUGGUCUACACAGAAAAUUGGAUCCCAUGAAGAUGAGGUUGUUAGCUGCCAAAAUUCAGUCUCUGGCCAUGAUUUCUAUCUUUGACCCCUAUUUUGUUUCAUUAUUAAUCAGAAAAAAAUAAUAUUUCUAAUAUCACAUCUCCAUACCAGCAAGCAGUGCCCAAGGUGAAUAACUGUUAUAACUUAUAACAGUCAAUAUUCUAUCCCAAAAUAAAAUUGACUCAUGACUGAGUGGCUAAACUGAUCAAGGAUGCCCAUUUUCUCCAUUAUAAUAGAAAAUUAAGGUUUCAAAGGUCAGUUCUAUUAUAUGGGAUAUCAGAUUUAUCCGAAACCUGUUUUUUCAAUUGAUUGUCGCCGUGACAACAAAUUUGUCUCAUAGAUGGUAAUCUAGCUAAACCACCUGCAAGGCAGCAGCUAGUCUGGGCUUUUUAUUGCCAAGGAAUGGGAAAAAACAUCAUCUCGCAGCUUUGCUUGAGACUAAACAAUUUGCUUCAUAAUUAGACUGCAAUUCACUCUCUUCAGUCGUCACAUUAUUUUGCAGCAGCUUUUAUAGACCCCAGUUCUUUUAGGUUGUGCUUCAUAAUGCUAUACUCUUCUAUGACACUGGACAGCUAAUAUUUUUUUCUCCGAACUGUUAUUGCACAAGGGAUAACGAGUCGUGCUAGAACCAUACAAGGAAAUACCAAUUUUAAGUCCGCUAACUCCAUACAAUUGCUUGAGAGAAAAAAAUAAGAAAAGCAAGAACAGGCAUAAUUAUAGGGCUUAAAAAUUAUGAUUAAGAUGAAAGUCAGCCACAGGACUACCAUAGACUUUGGCUAUUUAAAUGUCAAAAGUUGAACUUUCUUAUCUAUACAAGUUUUGGAUUUCAACGGUCAGCAGGUGGUGGAAAGAAUACAAAUCAUUUUGAACCAAAGCCAAACCACUUUGCCAAAAAGAAUUUGUUCUUCCCACGAGAAGCUAUUUCCUGUGCCUUCACUGGAGCAAGGGUAGGUGCUGGUGCUGGUGCUGGUGCUGGAGCUGGUGUUGGCUUUUGCUUUGCUGUACACAAAUUCAGUCAUACUCAAAUCAUCUAAAAAUUAAUGAUACUGAUGAUUUUGAAAUAUGGAUCAGUGAUUAACAUCAGGAUUUAGCAUAGACCAUAGUAUCCCACCAUAUUUGUCCAGGAAAAAAAAAUUGUAUAGGCAUAUGAUGCAAAUGGUUGAAUGAUGUUGCAUGCAAAGCAUGCUGAGAAGUUGAUAGAGAAGUAGAAGGAAAAAGAAUAAGUCAGAAAAAAGUAGGGGAGAAAUACGUGAAAUAUACUAGUAAAAGAAACUGAUUGAUUUGAAAUUACCCAAAUUUCAUACAAAGUUCGUCACUCUUGGUGGACCCUUUAUAAACAAUCGAAACACUCAAACCUAUAAUAUGCUGGUGAGAAGUUCAUAGAGAAGUCGAAGGAAAAAGAAUAAGCCAGAAAAAAAAGCAGGGGAGAAAUGCAUGAAAUCCACUAGUAAAAGAAACUGAUUACUUCAAAAAUAUUCAAAAUUCAUGCAAAGUUCAUCGCUCUUGGUGGACCCUUUAUAAACAGUCAAACCUAAAAUAUGUUUUCUGAUGACUUUCCCUAUGAUGAACCUAGGACUCCAAGUAACAGUUUAUUGACUUGAAAUAGCUCUGAUCAAUGUAAACAUGGAGUUAUAAGGAACAGAAGAUUGGAAUUUUAAGGAGCUGGCUGCCGGGCUGUGACCAAUUGAUUAUAUGGAGUAUAGAACAAGGAUCCAUCCUGAGCAGCAAAAUAUGGAUAGUUAGGAUUAUGGCAUCUCCAUGAGUGUAGCACGAUAGUAGUGCAAUAAAGAAAUCAAAGCAGCCUGAAAAGUUAAGGUUUCUUGUUUAAUUUGUAAUAUGGACAGAACAGUAUUAAGCCUUACACAACUAGGUCAUAGUGUUAUGACUAAGAUAAGACUCUUGGGAUCAAUCAUCAGUUUCCUAAGAGGGAAGGAGUGAAAAAGUUUGAAAGGCAUCAGCAUUCACUUGGCAGUUUGUCCCUUAGUGCAAAAAGGAGAAUAGGUAAGGUAUCCUGGCUAUACCAUUGUAUGUUUGUUCACUAUUUUGAAGGCAAAGUCUUGGCAUCACAGAGAAGCUUUAAGCUACUUCUUGUUUACCAGUAUUGGGCUGCAUUUAUAUAAGUUUCCAUGUGUGAUUCUCAAUGAUAUAACAAACCCAGAUUAAGUUCUAUUAAUCACAUUUGUACACCUUACUGGUAAUAUAUAUGGACAAAUCUAACUAACCCAAUGUUGAAAUAUGUUGUCAAAUACCGGUAAUCUCUGCACCUUACAAGACAAAAUCUUUUAAUCAUUAUUCUCCUGUAGGGGAUGGUAGUCUUACCUGUUGUUGGUAUAUUAACUUCUUGAGGAGAAAUGGAUGCUGACUUCGUUGUUGAGGUCCUUUGUUCACGAGAUUCUCCACUUCCAUAAUUAUCUAAAUUCACAAUGACAUAAAAUAUGUCUGCAUAAAUAUAAUGAAUUGGAAAUUGAAGAGAGUGUGAUCUAAAACUUGUAAAUUUAAAAGCUUAGCUUUUCAAAAGUACAGCACAGCAAACUUGGUAGAAGAAUUUUGUCAGCUCAAAGUCGUUUCACUAAAAAUCAGAGUCAAAGUUGUAUAGUGGGGUAUUAAACAAUGAGAUAGGAAUGGAAUAUUACAAAUUAAAUAAUGGAUAUAUGCUUUGAGUGCAGAUUUUUUAUAAAUUUUUUAUAUGAAUUCAGAGUUUUGGAAGUUAAACCUAUCACAUUUCUAAAAUAUUAAAAUUUAAAAGUAAUCCUGAACUAUAAUAGGACAGGAGAACCAUAGAGUAAAACAUUUCAGUGAUCUAAUAAACUAUGUUAACUUUCAUAACCUGAUGGAACAUAAGUUUUUGAAACAAUAUCUUUUAUAUUCCAUACUCUCAUUUUAGUUUCAUAACUUCCUUUCUCAUCUGAGUGUAUUGUAAAAAUCAUUAUGUCUCAAUAUAAUAUUGUGACGCAUGUGACAACCAAAAGAAGUGUCAAAAUUCCACUUUUCCUCCACAUAAAACUAAUCUUAAUCCAUCUAUAAUUAAAUGACUUCAGAAUAAUUUAUCAAGUGGAGAGGUCUAUCCAAAAUCAGAUUUAAUAGGUAAGACAAACUAGUUUAUAUAAUUAAUCAAACCAAAUCAUGUUGUAAGAUACAUAAAUAUAUUUCUCGCUCUUGUCACUACAAAAUAGUAUACUGGAGACUUGUUCCAUCCAUUCAAUGUUGAGGAAAUAUAAUAUUUGCAUAUUAACAUACUGGAGCAGCUGGGUCUCUUGACCCUUUUUUCCUAAUCCUCUACUAGUGCUGCUCCCUCUAUUGGAUUCUUUAACCCUACUGCUGUUGUCAAGGUGUGGUGGCACACUGGCAUGUUGUCGAAGAUUGAAGCACCAGCACGUUGGCAAAGUUCAGAUCUUGCAUGUACUUUUGGGUUUCCUUUGAUGGGUUAUAGGGUUUGGGGUUUUGCACAUGCCAUCAGAUGCCACUUCAGUUUCUAGGGUUCCGAGCAAUGCAGUGGUUUUUGUUACCAUGGGCAUGUAUGAUUCCAUGUCUCCAAAAUUUAUAAUAUCACACUUACGGGAAUAAAAAAGCAUACUGUUUACGUACUGAAAAAAAAACUGUUUCAUGGGAAAGGCAUAUUUCUAUGCCAGGCUGACAUGUAAGAACACACAUCAUCCAAUGCCACCAAGUACUCUCUCUCUCUCUCUCUGUGCCCCCUCCCCCCUUCCCUCCCUCCUCAUGGAUGGGUCAGAAUAGGGCCUAGUUUCAAGCAUUGAACUUAAGCAAUUAGUUCCAAUCUAGUUUGAAAUUUUUAAUCAAGAGUCAAGCUAUGUCUAUGGAUGUGCAGUAUAGUUUGUGAAAAGCCAUGCCCAAGCUAAGAGAAAUCCAACCUGAGCCUCACCAUUACCGGCAUUUUUUUCACCAUUAGUACAUUGUUCUACACAGAGAAAUGUUGGUUAAUUAUCUUUUUUGGUGGAAGUAACCUUGAGUUGUAAUACUCAUGUAAACAAGAGAAGGAAACUAUUUCACUCAUGAAGUUCAUGAAAGGACUAAGAUUCAAAGGUAAAAUAAUGGUCGCAAUGAUAGAAGGCAGACAGCUAUCUAAUAACUUGGAGAUUGCAUAUAAAAGGAGGUUGCUUGAUCCAAUUACAGACAAAAUCAUAUCAGUAGGUUAUGUUUGAUAAAGCUGAAGAGCACAAGGAUAAAGCUUACCCUCAUUAAAAGGCUUCCCAUAGUUUUGCCUCAAAGCUUCAAGAAAUGUACUUUCCCUAUGAUCUUGCAUCACUAGUUGAGAAACAGAAGACAAGAUGUUAUGCACUGGUGGAACAUGGAUGGUUCUGUAAUUACAUGUUGUGAUCUAAGUUAGAACAGAAGAGUACAUUGCUCAAAUAGUUCAUGUCUCUGGCUGGGAGCAGAGCCAACCAGAAGCAAUUGUACCGCCUCUGCAUCCUUAUUUGUAAAAAAUUUAGCAGCACUGUUCAGAUUUUGUGUAUCCAAAAGAAUACCUGCAAGCUGGAAACAGCAGAAUGCUUCAAAACAUAGGUGCAUAGAGAAGUCUUGAUAAUAAAGCCCGGCAACACAAAUAACAGUUAAAAGUUUCGAUACCAAAAGUUUUUUCAAAUUUGGUGUCUCAAGCAGAUCAUAGGCUUCUUCACAGUAAUUAUCUGUGAGAACUGUGCACAGUGAUCCCACCUGGAUGAACAACAUGAAACAUGCAUAAGAACUCAUCUCACCAUCCCAUGCUUGCUAAGCUUGAGAAUCGAAGAAUUACCUCGCUAUUAGUUUUCAGAACAUCUUGCCCGAUGACAAGUAUGCUUAAUUGUCUGGCCAGCAUUAGACCCUCCAGAUCCACCUGAUUCAAAUUAAGCAAAGAAGUCAACAAGUAUUAGAACUUUGUCCUGAAGAAAAGAAAAAGAAAAUUGUUAGAUCAUAUCUUCUUCACUGAUUCAAAAAGACCAAAGUAUUUCCAUGGAUAAGAAACUAAUGCUAAAACAGUACCAACUACCAAGAGAGCAUAAUACAGGCAAAAACCAAAGUUCUAAAACUUGAAUUUGCGGGCAUGAGAUUUUGCUUUGGCAUUUCUAUAGCUUUUAGCUUCAGUUUGACAAUUUUGACUGAAAACCAGGAAAGAAAUAACAACAUCAAUCAAUCGAGGGAAGGAUUCAGAUGUAAUAAAGAAUUAAAUAAAUACAUAAAUUUACACAUCAUUUUAGUGGUAUAUAAUUUUUCACAAGAAUAUAAUAUUGAAAAUCAUAUUUACAGUAUGAUAUACAUUUUACUGUUUGAUGGCAAUUUAACAUGAAAAAAUCUAAAUGCAAUUAAUAUUAGAGUCUAAAAUAGCCAAAAUUACAUAAAAACUUUGUUUUCCUUUAAAUCUCUUUAGAAUUGUCUCAAUACUCAAAUUUUCCCAAAGCUCAUGAAAUCCAAGUUUAACAUAGAGAAAUGCCUCCAGCAUCGAUACAAAUGAAAAACAAUGGAAGAAAAUCACAUAGACAGUACAUUUUUAGUAUUUUUUGAUAGCAAUCUAACAUAAGAGAAUCAUUUUUGAGAUCUAGAACCGGUAAAAGAGCAAAUUAUUGGCACAAGGGUGGGAUCUUGGCACCCUCCUAACAUAAGAUAAUCAAGAUGUUCAUGAGAAUUGAGAUUGGAAUAGCCAAAUUAUGUUGAAAACUUUAUUUUCCUUUAUCUCUUUGGAAUACCAUGUUGCAAUGCAUGUAAAUUAUCGAGAUUGAAAGGAAUGCCAAUUAGAAAAAUAAAUACCACAAACCAUUAUGUGUAUAAUGAAUUUGGGUAACUUAAGAUUUUAUAUAAUAAUAUAAUUAUGAAUACAAAAUAGCCUGCAAAAUAUGACUAGGAAGUAUCAAAAUAUUCAUAUAAAAUUAUGAAACCCAUCAUGUGCUUUAUUGAGUCUAAAUCUAAAGUGCAACUGAUAUUUUCUUUUGCAAUUCCUUCAUGCAUCGGUUCAAAGAGUCAAAGUAUUUCUAUUUCAUGAUACAAAGUAUUAAAAUAAAUUAAAUAAUAUCAAAGAAGUGAAGAGCACAAGAUAGAUGAUUUUUUGAAGUCAAACAACAGAUGUCUCAUUGCAGGGCAAAUAGUCAUAUUGCAGCAUAUCUUGCCAUUGCAUGUGCAUCUUUCAUAAUGUGCAUCUGUAUCUAAACUUGUUAUAUGCAAGUGUACUUCACAAAACCAACUGAAAGGCAUCACAACCACUUGCAUGUGUCUAAUGCUACUAAGAUUAAUUUAUAGGACUCGCAGCAUCCGCAAACACAACCUACUGAAUUGCAAUGAUGAAAACAAAAUUUAAGGAAGAAAUCAGCGUUGGGAGUUAAAGUGCUGACCAUGCCAAGGUGAUGCUUGGAAAGUACAGUGUCAUUGCUAAACUGUCAUGACUAUGUGCCAUCCAGUGUAUGCCUAACACUAGAAUGACAUGGCACCACAUGCUAUGCUAGUUCCAAGCCAGCAUGCACUGUAGCACACACUUAACACAGAUGAAUAGAAUGCCAUACCUCAUCAGAGAAGAGCAAGGCAGAUGCAUCAAUCCCCAAGUGAAAAAAGAGCCAGGCAGCUUGCUUUUGCUUGAGCAUCCUCCCUCUCUUCAUGCUCACCACUGGUGCCACCACUCCACUGCCACCCUGCUCCUUCUCCCUGUUCUCAAGUAGCCAUGCAUAGCAAAUGGCUGCCACCAUUGAACUUGUUGUGCCUGCUCAUAAGGUAAGACAUGUCAAAAAAAAAUUCUUUUUAAAAAUUACUUAUGCAAAAGAUCUAACCUUUUACUCUUUUUUAUCCUGAAAAGGGUUUCUAUUUUCGUUGUCUGCAGUAAUGGCUCAUUUGAACUUUAUUCUUUAAGGCAGAGCCUUCAUGGUUCCUAAAGUCCAUAAUGAACUGUUCCUUAAAAGUAAGAAAAGGAGAGUUUGCAUUAAAAAUCCAAUUCCUUCUUGAUUUUGUAAAAACUAUAUAUAUGAGAAUAUUGUGGGGCUAUGCUGCCCCUACCUCCAAAUGAAUGUAUCAUCAAGAGCACACCAUAAAUAUAUUACAGCAGUUGAUGUCAAUAUACUGGCAAUGAAUUCAAACAUGAUACAAUUUCUAAGAGCAGAGGUAUAAGGGUCAGUGAAGUUCUAUAGAUCUUUUCUCUUUUUAAAAACAAAUGCUUAGAAUUUUCUUUUUUUAUUAAACAUUGGUGAACCGCUCUUUUGAAACUGCUUUAAUUCCUCUUUCCUUAUAUUUCUUUCUUCUCUUUAUUUUUUUUAUUUGCCAUGUAUGUUCAUUUACUUGAUAAAAACGAUCACAUUGUCUUUUUUGGCAAAAAAAGAUAAAUUUUCUACAAAAUUCGGGAAAAAAAUGAAGGAAGUGUAAACAACCCAUCACUUCCCGGUGAGACGAUCCACACCGGGCGGUGAGGGGAGCAGCAGAAGGUGAAGUGGGUCUCGCAACUGUUUGAGGAUCCGGAGAGUAUGAUCUGGGCCUUGGCAGACAACUCCCCGCGAGAGAUCUUCGCGAUCAUGGCCCUCUGCCUCCUAAGGAACGCAUUCAGCUUCCCCACGUCCUCCUCCGCCACCGAUCGCCGCUCUCCGGCCUCCGAUCGCCGCUCGCUGGCCUCCGAUCGCCGCUCGCCGGCCUCCGACGAGUUGGAGACUGACCGCCUAUGGCCAAAACCGUCCACUCGGGAGACCUUGUCCAGCAAGCACGUGGACGCCGACACCGACCGCCGAUGAGCCGAUUCCACCAAAUUCCGGGGCGGCGACAGCAGGAGACCUUGCUCGUUCGGCUCCGCCGCAGCCGGUGGAGGGUUCCGGAAGGUCCGGCGGGGGAUGGCGGCGGGCUGGGGCUCCGGGGGCUUCUCAUGGAAGCGGGACUUGCGGCGGAGGGGCUGCUUCGAGAGGAGCACCGGGGGUGGGCGGCCGCGAGGGUCGUCGGAGUGGGGUUGGGGCUGGUGGUGGUCGGCGGCCGCGGAGGUGGGGGGUUCGACGAAGUUGGAGAACCAGUGAUGGGCGGCGGAGGCGGGCGAUUGGGGCUUGGAGGAGUCGGAGGAGCAGGCGAAGAUCUCGGAUUUGUUUCCGCUGUGGCGGGCCGAAGUUCGCUGGAGGAUCUCGUCGCCGAUGCCGUCCGUCGAUCUUUGCCUGCGACCACGUUUGCAUCAAGAUGAACAAACUACGUUGAUUGAUAACAUCAACCCUUGUCCUCUCUUUGCACCACUCACAAAGCAACAUGGGCUAAUUAAGAGGAAUUUUUAUUCUUUUCUUUAUAUAUAUAUCCUAAGAUUCCUAACCAAACUUAUUUGAUCAACCAUGCUUGAAUGAACUAAUUAUAAUUUGACUAUAUUUAAAAUUGUACCCUCAUAUAAUGUUAAGCACCACUACUUUUCAUCUUCUAUCCUAUAUCAUGCAUGAAGUUGUGCGGGCACCACACGCAUUUAGUUUUAUUCUAAAUAAUAAUUACUGUCUAAUUAUUAUUUUUAAUGAGAUUUUUGAUUGUUAUAAAUGUUAUUAGAGUAGCUUCGACUAAUGCUUUAAUACUAUAAUACAUGCUCUUCCGGGGCUAAUCAUGAAAUAAGGCACUCCUUAUUGUCCAUAAGCAAUGUAAUAGUCCUUCGGGUGGCACUUGAUUAAAGAAUAACUAUGGCAUAGCUAAUGAAAGAUGUGUCAUCUUCCACCGUCCCAAUUAGAAGAUCGGACCAAGUCCAUUAUGUUUUGUUGAUAAAGUUGUUUUAAUCCUUUUUGUACUCCCUUUUCAGCAGAUAAUCAAAAUUCCAAUGCGAUCCAAAAUAUUCUAAUUAAACAUUUGUAUGAGGAGAGGGAGGGUAAUAUUGAGCAUCGCAUGCACGAAUUCCGAAGCAAUCAAGAACAAGUGCUCUUUUGAGUAAUUAGCUGGAAAAGGGUAUAAUUAUAGGGUUAAAUAACUUUACUCGAUCUUAUUCUGCUUUCAAAUUUUUCAAGAAUAAUUGCGAAAUUGUUCCGCAUAACCUAUUGAACUGCGAGACUACGGAGGCCUAUCCCUCUCAUGAAAAUAAAUGGUGAUCACUUAGCCUCACUCUAAUUUUAUGAUUUUAUCUCCUUUUGGAUUUCCAAAUUUUGAUCCAUAUCAUCAUAAUUAUGGUUAUCAUCAUGCAAUUUUUUUGGUGCAAACAAGAUGCAACUAAAAGGUAACAUACCUUCUUGCAGAACGUGAGAGUGGAUCCCUCCUAUCAAGCAAAGCACUAGGCUCCCUGGUCUGUGAUGAGGCUGCAAACCUUGGAGAAACCCCUAGCCUCGACGGCGACCCCAGCCUCGACGGCGAACCUGCGACCAUCUUCUUCGCCUCUUCGAGCCAUUCUUGCGUUAGCCUGCUCGUGCUACUCUUGCCAUGGACAACUUCUUCCUCCUCCUUUACACUUGCCCCAGUCAAAUUAUAAGCUCUUUGGUUCGUUCUAACACUUCCAAAGAACCAGUCAUUCAUGAAGUCUGUGAGGUCUGCCACAGGCUCACCAUCAUUAGGAUGCAAUCCUUUCCUCUCCAUGCUCAUCUUUCAAUUGUUUUCUCACAACCUAGCAUAAAAAUGAUCAAUGAUGCAAGGGAGCAGAGAAUCUGGUUCCAGAACAAAACUUUGGGCACAUAACUUUGAUGGUUGCUUAUGGGCUCUAUGAGACUAAUAAAUUCUUGAGGUGUAAACUUGGAGGAGGAGAGGGUGGAAUUUUUUAUGCAAAUGGCUGAGACUACGAAGCAGUGGGAGAUUGGCAUCGGAAUAUUUAUGCGAAGUGUCCGUUAGAGAAUGUCUGCAGGCUGAGAAGGACAAGAAGGCCGGCUUUGGUUUUGACCAAAUCUAGGAGCAAGGCGGCAGUGUCUUCUUUUCUCUUUUUCUUUUUUUUUUUUUUUUAAGCUAAAACGGGCAUUCAUACAUUACGGAUAUGAAUACAUCCAAUAAAAUCGAUAAACAAAAGGUCUCGUAAUGUAACAGGUAUCUCACCCUCCCCAACCCACAGGGUGCCUCUUGAGUGGCUCGCUACAUAUGCUAUCAUCCAGUCCGCCGCCCCAUUAGCCUCACGAUAUACAUGCAUAGCCUGAAAUGUAAUGCCCUCCCUUACUAUCAAUCAAAUAUCAUGGAGCAGGGGAUGAACACCUUCAUCCCUGCUCGUGCCCUGUCGGACCCAGCCGAUCACCGUGGCCGAAUCAUUCUCCAAAAGGAUGGAGGUCACCUGAAGCACGUGCCACGCAUAAUGCAAUCUCAUCCAAGCCGGCAAUGUCUUGGAACGCGGAAAAAGCAUCGGCAAAUUGGGCACAUUGCAUCCUUUGUUGAUGAAAUUUAACAGAAUUUAAGGUUGUGAUAGAUUGUGGUAGCCACCUGUCAAUUCCACUUGGCUGAGUGUAGUUGUGACAACAAAAAAAAAAAAGAAGUAGGCGGCCAUGGGAAAACAACAUCUCAUCUUUUAUAUUUACAUCUGGUUGUCAAAGGGAAUUGUCUAAGUGUUUGUGUGAUCCUGCCUUAGGCUGGUUUAAUGAGAUGAUGCUAAGUUCUCUCAAUUGGAAACUAUGCUGUUGAAGCUAAGAUGGCCUUAACAUGCAUGUGUUUUUGAAUAGUCUUUUGGGAAUAGGGGCUUAUCAAGGGGAAAGGUUGGUUUUAUAACUUAAAGCCUUGGGGUUGAGUGGAUCAACCCUAAGGUGUUAAGGUUUCACAUAUGUUUCUGUAGUUUUUUUUUGUUAGAUAAUGGAUUCUAUGCAAUGUUAUAGUCUUUGUUUAAAAAAAAAAAAGUGUAUUUCGACAAAAUAUCUAAAAUUACUAUAAUAUGUAUGCACUUGACUUUGAUAAUCAUCAUUGGACAAUAAAUUUAUAAUUUAAGGAUAUUAUAGCAUCUUGCAGCCAAUUUAAUAUUUGAUAUUCAAAUAUCAUCGACGAAAUUGACACAAAAAUUUUCUUAAACAUAUUAAGCAAUAGUUCCUUUCUUUUUAAUAAAAAAAACUAUAUGAUCCCAUUUUUGACAUUUACGAUCCAUAAUAUUUAACAAUAGCCAAAGAGAUCUCAUAAAAUUCAAAGAAAAUGGAUGUUCGAUAAUGUGAAAUAGAGGUUGAACGCAUAUGAUAAAUUUUGUAGGAAAUCAUCUACUCUCUUUUUGCUUAAAUUUAAAUGACUUGACUGGAUCUUUAAAACUAACUACUAUGAGCAUUUAAUUGAUAACAUUCUUUGAAUGUUUUUUUCAAAUAUUUUAAACAUGAUAUUUAAGAUAAUUAAUUCCACCUUUAAUAUUAUUACUUAAUAUUUGUUUACAAUAUUUACAAGUAGAUCUAAAUCCAUCAGAUUUUUUUCUUCAACAAAUGAUUCCACAAAGGAUAUUUUCUUACAAUUGUUUUUUUACCACAAAAGGAAGAUUUACACUACUAUAGUAUGAAUACAUAAAAAACAAAACAAAAAACAAUAUAUACCAACAAGCCCUAGGCAUCUAUGCCUCAUAGGUCCAAAGAACUCCACUGAUUAGCCACAUAAGAUGCCAUCUAGUCUGCUAUACUGUUUACCUUCCGAUAGACAUGACUCACCUCAAAGGAGAUGCAUGCCCUCGCUAAGCUCCAUAUGUCAACCAUUUUCACUAUCUUCUUCUAUAGUGUCAUUCUCAUUUCUUGUAUUAUCAAUAAUCUCAUUUUUUACCAUAUUAGAAUGAGCCAUUGUAGUAAAAUAAUCUGCCCAAAUAAUAAUAUAAAUGAUCAAAACAGAAAUCAACAUGUAAAUAAUAAUAUACAACAGAAAUUAUAAUUGCAUUAUGUUUAGCAAUCAACACAUCCUAUCUACACUAAAACACAUACAAUCAACAAUAUAUUCCAAGAAUAACAUUGUAGGUAGUAACAAGUGUAUAAUUCAUGCUUCAAAUUAAUUCCAUCAUCUCAAAUGAAAAGGGAAAAACAAGUCAAGGUUAUACUCUACAAUCUCUGAGAAUCUUGCUAUCUAAAUAUGCUAGCGGCAUACGGUUCAUUGGAACGGGAUAUUAGCAACAUCAGAUUCUAAGGUAAUCUAUCUAAGGUGCUGACAAAAUAAGGAGACAAACUUGAAAUGAAAACAAUUUCUACUAUAUAUAUAUAUAUAUAUAUAUAUAUAUAUAUAUANNNNNNNNNNNNNNNNNNNNNNNNNNNNNNNNNNNNNNNNNNNNNNNNNNNNNNNNNNNNNNNNNNNNNNNNNNNNNNNNNNNNNNNNNNNNNNNNNNNNNNNNNNNNNNNNNNNNNNNNNNNNNNNNNNNNNNNNNNNNNNNNNNNNNNNNNNNNNNNNNNNNNNNNNNNNNNNNNNNNNNNNNNNNNNNNNNNNNNNNNNNNNNNNNNNNNNNNNNNNNNNNNNNNNNNNNNNNNNNNNNNNNNNNNNNNNNNNNNNNNNNNNNNNNNNNNNNNNNNNNNNNNNNNNNNNNNNNNNNNNNNNNNNNNNNNNNNNNNNNNNNNNNNNNNNNNNNNNNNNNNNNNNNNNNNNNNUUUUAGGUUAGAAAUAUAAUCAAAAAUAAUCCUAUAUUACACUAUCACGGCAAAGUGUUUUCGUGAAUAUUGGAAAUUUUGAAUAUAACGUACGAUUGUUCAAAAAUUUAUGUUAGGUAUAAUUUUUACUUUUUUGAAAAAAUCCAUUUUAUCAAUUAAUUUCUCCUUUUUGUAAUUUUCUUUUUUAUUUUUAUUAUCCAACAAUUUUUUGAAAAGUAAAUUAUACUUUCUAAACCAACUGCAACUAUGGAAUGUGUGACCAUAAUCUUUAAUUUAUAUAAGAAAUGUUAUGCUAAUCGAGGUUCUUUCGUAUCUUUUAUAUCGAUCAUAAUAGUGGGAGAGGAUAAAGAAUUUGUUAGUUGGCUCAGAUGCUAAUGAUAAGAAACCAUGCAUAUUUAUUGGUGGGAGAGUGAAUAAAACUAUGAGAAGUAAUUAGACAAAGAGGGAAUAUUGACCUUAUGUAUAUAUAAUGAAAGAUUGCAAGAGAAAGCAAUACUAAAAUAAAAAUUGAUGCUAAGGCGAGCCACCCUAUCCCCCCCCCGGCGCAUGUUAGCUGUGCUCCGGCUCCUCUCGCUACCGAAACCCUAACCCUGAUACUAAUCUCAUCGUCUUCUCAGAUCCAGUCUCGAAGGAAGGAGAAAUGUCCAAGGCCUGGGUCGGAGUUGGCGCCUGGGCGCUCGAUGCCGAGCGCGCGGAGGCGGAGGAGCUCGAGCAGGCGGGGGCCGAGGAAGCUUCCUCCUCCGCCUUCGGCACCGCGGGCACCGUCCUCGCCAACGAGCCCGCCCAGAGCUUCCCCAGCCUCAAGGAGGCGGCCGCCACCAAGCCCAAGAAGAAGAAGCACGUCGCCAUGCCUCUAUCGCAGUUCGCCACUUCCUAUAUCGGCGGCGGCCGCGGGGAAUCUUUCUCCGAGCCCAGGGGCCUCACCCCGGACGAGAUGCUCCGCCUCCCAACUGGUCCUCGAGAGCGCUCCCAGGAGGAGCUCGAGCACGGCCGCCUUGGCGGCGGGUUCCGGAACUACGGCGGUGGAUCCCGUGGGGGUUUCCCUGGUCGCAGAUCCGACGACGGGGAAGGUUCCUGGAGUGGCGCUGGUGGCGGCAGGAGGUCAUACGGUGGUUUUGAUGAGGAGCCGCGGAGGGGACCGCCGGCUAGGGUUUCCGAUUUGGACCUCCGAUCGAGGGCUGACGAGGUUGAUAACUGGGCUGUUGGGAAGAAAUCCUUUGCUCCUGCACCGAUCGAUUCCGGACGCUCUGAUCGAUAUAGCUCGCUUGGUAGUGGAGGUUCAUCGAGGGCUGUCGAGGUGGAUAACUGGGCUGCCGGGAAGAAGCCUCUCCCUUCCAGGUACCCCAGCUUUGGAUCGGGGUUCAGGGAUUCUCGUUCUCCAUCCGAUUUCGACCGGUGGGGGAGGACAGGUGGAGGACCUCUGCCCAACAACGAGGAGAGGCCAAGACUCAUCUUGGAUCCACCGAAGGGGGAUGUGGGAGCACCGAGUGAGCCUGUGAGAACUCGUCCUAGCCCGUUUGGUUUUGCGCGGCCAAGAGAGGAGGUUUUGGCAAAGAAAGGGGUGGAUUGGAUGAAGAUAGAUUCUGAGAUUGAUUCCAUAAAGGCAAGCCGGCCGACUAGCUCGCACUCGAGCAGGCCUUCUAGUGCACAGUCAAGCAGGCCUGGGAGCCCUGGUUCACAAGCAGCAGCAGCAGCAGAUGAAGCCCCCAAAUCUCGGCCGAAGGUGAACCCUUUUGGUGAUGCCAAGCCCCGAGAGGUUCUGUUGCAGGAGCGGGGUAAAGAUUGGAGGAAGAUUGAUCUGGAGCUAGAGCAUUGCAGUGUUGACAGGUAUAGACUCUCUAUCUAUAUCUCAACAAUCCCGACUACCUUUUUAAUAUGUGUUUUUAUGUUUUCUUUAUUAGUCUAGCAGUAGCAACAUUUUCUGGUUUCCUGUCUCCAAAUGCAGUAUGCUGAGAUCAUAGUGCAUCAUUGUAUUUAAAGCAGUGUAUAAUUCUUAAUUGAUACUUAUUGCUUGCAUAUAAAGUCGGCAUCUUGGAAACUUUGAAUUGAUUGUUUUCAUCAUCAUUUGUUGAGUGUCAGUUUUGUUCCAUAAAGAGGUUCAUAUAGGAAAUUUUUUAAUUUCUAUGCUGGAUGUUUUGAUUGUUUAGGAAUGACACCUAAGCUGCCCGUGCAGCCUUUGUGGCUUCAUAACAAGGAAGCUAACAUAUUUGCUCACAGGGUCGUUGGUUGUGUAGUCUUAAAAUUUUUGUCUGCAUUAACAACAGAAUGAGAAAUAUGCAAAAAUUUGAGGUAUUCACCAAUUGCAAAUAUUUAGAUUGACGACAUGAUACCCGCCAUCCUGAGUGUUGGGAUGCAGGGCAUUUGAUUCCCCGAAGAAACCGAUUGCUUUGCCCCAUCCCACGUUAUUUAUAAGCUUGGUUAUAAGGGCUUUGUAUAAGUGGAUUUUGUUGCUAAUGCACCAUGUGACUCAGAUUAGACUUGAGAAAUGUGCGGACUGAGUAGGGACUAGAAAACCCAGACCUUGCCUGAUUUUCUUCUUGCAUUGUUGUUAAAGCCUUACAAUCCAUAUCCGAUUCAUUAAAAUGGCCUUGAUUAAAAUGGCACUAAAUGAUCAGAGUCAAUUAGAAUUGCGAUAUCUAGAUCUGUUAUGCAUUGUACAAUCCCUCGAAUCAUAUGAUCUAAUUGGAUCAUGUUACAUACAUAUUAACUCAUGUGGAUUUUUGUUUUAUUUAAUAUUUUGGAUUAUAUAGCUUUUACAAUUACUUAUUUGUCUCUAAUAAGCUCGACCUCAUAAAAUUAGCAAGCUCAUUUUAGUUUUUGACUUAUAGAAAGUAAAGAAACAAAAUAUUUUGGAGUUAUAUGGAAUUUAUGCUUAAGAGACAUAUCUUUCGUAUUUGUACAACUAUUUCUUAAAGCCUACUUUUGUUUCUUAGAAAUAUCCUACGUAAAGGGAUGAUUGAGCUUAUAGGUAGUAAAAAAGUAUCUUGGAUAAGUUUACAUGAUGAUUGUUUCAUUUUGCAUUGCUAUAUAUGGGUUUUUGAUGGUAAAAACUAAAGUUCUUAUAUGUAAUGCUUUCAUUCUUCAUUCAUUUUAUUCAUUGUUUAUCAUUUUUCUUUCAAUUUUCACACUUCUUUUAUAUUUUGAGUUUUUUGAAUAAAUCAGACACUCUUAUGAUGAGUGACUCAAUCCACAACACUGCCUGAUUUAACCCUUUAUAUGAUUUACGACUCAAUUAUGAUCCUGACAACAUAGUUCAUAUGGGUUAGGAUUUUGUGCUGGAUCAUUCUUCAUACAAGGGUCGGUCCAAUUUGUUGUUGUGUCAGAUCAUGGGUUGACCUGACCCAUUUGCAAACGUAUUAAUGAAUCUGUGCAGCUAAACAAUUGCGUGUUGAAAUUAUCUUAUUAUAAGUGAUUUUUCAUGAAGCUUAGUGCUUCCCAUGAGUCCCUUUGGCCCUAGGAACACAUACUGCACCAAUAAACCUGGGAUAAAAUUUGAGGUUCUUAACAAUUAUGGAGAAUGGUACCUUGAGAACUAUGUAUAGGACUUGUUUCUAGUUAGGUAUUUUAUUUCUUGUUAUCAAUUGAUAGAAGAAAACUAUGUACUAUGUCAAAGCUGAAGGAGGCUAUACCUAUUAGUGUAGUGCAAAAUUAUAAGUUUUGGUUAGCACUAAUCCAUUUUGAACAAGACCAAACCAAACUUGACCCAGUUUGAGGUUUCGGUUGAGUUUUGGAGGUUUUGAUCUUCGAGAUUCUGGUGAGUUUCAGCUAAAGCUGACCAAAACUAGCCAUAGAUGCUUUUUUUCGUAGAUUUGUUUCGUUGUUUACUAUCAUAUUUUAGUCACCUUUUUAUUUAUUUAAGUUCUUAGGUUAUGUGGUACCAAUUUUCAAUGCAUUUUCUUUUUCUUUCUUGAGUUAAAUGAAUAUAUAAUAAAUAUAUUAUGUGACAGGCAGAGGCCUGUAAAAUAGUUUUUAUUAUUAGUACUUUAAAAAGAUUAUUGUAAGUAGCUAGUACAUUAUGUUUUACAAAAAAUAUUUUUUAUAUAAAGAAUAUCAUUUUGCUCACCCACUUGAUGAUGAUGAUGAUGGUCACCAUUAAUUUAAUGUCGACCUUGCAAAAGUAUGUGGUAUUGAAUAAGUAAAUCUAACUUAUUUUAUACUCUUACAUACUUGUCUUGUUAAUUUAUGAUUGAUUGAGUGAUACUGGUAUUUUUCUUAAGAGAUUAGCACAUUCAUGUGAUAUAUUAAAGCUACUAAGCCUCAACAUUGUUUACUUUCAGCCUGAAACUGUCUGGACUACAUUAUAAUCCUAGAUAACUUAAAACAUAAUGAAAAGAGGUGAAAUAAAUUGACUUCAAUUUUUUAUUUUUAUUUUCUCUCAAUCUUUGGGUUUUUUCAACUGUUUUUUUGGACUGAAAUUUCGAAACUCGGAGUGAAACUACUGGAACCAAAACUUUGACUGAGGGGUCGAAUGAGUCCUAAAACCUUGGUGAAUAGGCAAAUGAGCAAUGGAGGAGAAUGUCAAAAUAGAGUAAUAUUACUUGGUAGAUUUCUUGAAAAGGACCGCCAACAAUCUUUAUUUAGAGGGUACAACUGCUUUUUCAAGAUAAUGAGUGAUAGAUACAUGAUGUUUCUAGAAUUGGCCAAAUAUGAGCAUUGUUGUAAUGUGAAACAUAAUAGAUGUUGGUAUUGAAGUAUUGAGCUAGUGUAAGGACAUCCAUUUAACACCGUUUUAAAUCUUGGGUUAUUUAGGAAACUGAGAUGGUGGCUUAAAAAUCAAGUGGAAGAUAUGAGUGCAACUGUAUGCCAAAAGCACCUAUUUUUCCAAUUAGGAAAGUAGGACAGGGACCUAAGGCUCUAUGAGAUGCACUUAAGAUACGAACACCUACUUGUCCUUGUUUUAGAUAAUUUCAACUUGUUGCCAUUACUUGAGCUGCAUCACAUGUGCCUAUAGUGUUGCAGAUGAAAGAUGAGAGCAAAAUGAACAAAUAAGAUGUUAAUCUUGAUCACUUGAAUGGAGGUACACUUGGAGAGACUUUAUAUUUGAUUGUUGACUUAGUCUAGAAUACGAUGUUUUCUUCGAGGGAAUCUCUUUCUGGUCUAGUUGCUACCUUGUUAUUGGUUUAUAUGUCUCUUCUUGCCUGGCCAUGGGCUAGCAUUGUCCCUUAAUAUGCUGUUUAGGUUUGCAAACAGAUCGGAUCCAAAAUUAGUCCAGUAUGAGCUAAAUCCAACCUGUUUUAGAUAUGGGGAGCCUGAUCUGUCCUUCUCAGGUUCUUUGGGGAAAAAAUUAGGUUAGGCUAGGCCAGGCCAAUCCUUGCAAAAAGGGCUACGAGAAAAAAUAAUGACCCCAAUCCCAUUUUCUAGAAGGGGUUAUGCUUUAUUGGCCUGGAUAUGACCUACAUAUCUUAAAAAAAUUGGAGUGGCUGCAUCUUGGCUAAGCUGGUUGACUUGAUCUAUGUGCAUGCUUAGACUUGUUUGAUUGCUGUAGUUUGGGAAUCAUUCUAUUCAAGUUACCAUUAGCUAUUUUCUGAAUUAUUUAGAAAACACACAUAGCUAGUGUUUGAAUUAUUGAGAAACCCAAUUUUUCAUGAUCCUUCAUUAGCCAAAAGAUUCUUGGUUAUAUUCGUGGAAACCCGAAACCUCCAACUAUUUAAUGAUUCUGAAAUUUAACAAAAUAUCAUGUCUUCUAAAUACACACACAUCAUUUGCUAAGGUGGCUAUGUCUCCUUGGUAUGGCUUCCUUUGACAUUUCCAUGUUGCCACUCUUGUAGAUAAUUUAGCGAUGAUGCUCGAUCAUUAUUAUUAAGAAAAUCCCAUGCGUUUGAAAUUUAGAUUGAGCUGUGAUUAACUUUGGGCCUGCUUGGUUGCCCAUAAUUGGGUAUCUAAACUCAGUUCGUGCCAGAGGAGCUCGCUUUGGGCAUUUGGUUGGCCUGAACUGGAGCUGAACUAAGUUCCCACUUGGCCCAAUUUAAGGGAGAAAAGGCCUGAAGUGGCUUUGGCCCAAGGGGAGCCGAACCAACUCCAGUGAAGUGGGCUCCCGUUUGGCCCACUUACACCAAACCAAACAAGCCCUUUGUCUUGGUUGGUCAAGUUGGCUUUGUACAAGGGCUUCUAGUAAGCCCUGACCUUUCAUUCACAUCACUAAAAUCAUUAGUAUGCUGUCCAGGGUGCCAGAACUUUGGAUAUGCUGCCUAUAAGUAGGAAAAUAAGCACCUGAUUGUUCAUGAAUCUGGAAUGCGGCUGGAUGUUGUUCGCUCACUUAUAGAUCAGCAAAAUAAUUUUCAUGGUUUAGAAAAUCAACUUAAUAUUGUCCUAACCUGCAUAGAUAGGCAUGGUUGUUUAUCCAACCUUUAAAGUUACUUCAGAGUUUCCUUCUCGUCAAAAAUAACAGAGAAGAUGGAAUUCUAGGUCUACCUUUGCCCGUAGAUUGUGGAAGGUCAAAUGUGAAUCAAAACUUGAUAUUAGGUGAAGCAACCACUUAUCAACAUGUUUUAACCGAGUACCAUACUGUUGAGUUUGUCUUUCCGAUUGGCAUUCAUCAACAUCUUGCAGAUGUUGCUGACCUGCUAACGAUGCUGGACCUUAGGGCCUUCGUUCCGAUUUGAUGUCCUAGUUUGAUGCAGAUCUGAUUCAAUUGCUCGUGAAAUCCUGAAUUAGAUAUUGAAUUUUAAACUGACUUGAAUAUGGAAACCUUAUUUUCUUUCAGAUUCUUAACUGAAAAUUGGCAAGGCAAAGCAAGUCUCCAUUCUUUUGUAAAGAUCAAAGCCCUUGGCUGAAUGUAACACAGCCAAAAUUAAAGAAAACUUGGUAUGGGAAACGGAGAAACAGAAACCAGAUAUUUAUCAGCCUUUAGAAGACAUGCAAUUUUGAAUCACAGCCUUAUUAUGUCUCCACUAUUAAAUGUUAAGAGGACUGGAGCUAUCUUGAGGGGAAUGCUAAAUUCUUGCGUUCAACUUAUAAAUGUAAUUGAAAGAGGUGGUAAGACCUUUGGGGGAAGUCAUCUUGAGAGUAGGAGGAAAUAGGAUAGCUACUCUCCUUGUUUCCAUUUUCCUUAUAUUUUAAAUAUCUCGUUUUGUGUUGUUUCAUCUUUUUCUCUCUUUUCUCUAUUCUCCUUACUUUUCUCUCUUGUUUGCUCUUUGUUCUACUCCAUGCAAGUUGCUAGCUAUCUCUUUUGCAGCCCAAAAAUCAAGGUUGGCCAAACCAUCCCAAAUCUCUGGGUUCUAGGCAUACUGUAGCAACCAGCCAGGACUGAAAUAGUUGAAUCUCUCUAAAUAAGGGAUGUGGCGAAUCAGGCCGAAUCGACUGGUUCCACCUGAUUUCAGAUGGUACUAACAGGUUGUGCCUAGUUACGGCAUUUAGUUGUCCUAGCCCUCUAUCAGGAUCUCUUCUUCUCUAUUCGUCUCCCUCUCUCUCUCUCUUUUACCCACCCUUCUCAAUCUCCUUGGCCCUGGUACCGACCUCAUUGAGCUCGCCUUCAAUGUUGGUGCCUACAUCUACUCGUUUGGCCUCCAUGGGCUCCACCACAUCCACCACCACUAUCUCCGCCAACCAUGAUAGGAUGCUGGACCCCCUUCUCCUAUGCCUCCAUCCUCCCUCUUAAGUUUUACAGUAAAACCAUCUUCUGUACCAUGUGUCAUUACUAUAUGAUAUCGUACCAUACCGGACUGAUAUAGGUCAUUUUCAUACCUUGUUAAAAAUAAAAUCUAUACCAGCGUAUGCCGAACUGGUACGGGCCGGUACAAACCGGUCCGACCAGCUACCGGUACGCCGGAGCCGUGGAAACCGGUACAGGCCGGUUCCUUGCCGGAGACGAAGAAGACGAGGAGAAAAAGAGAGAGCGCGGGGAAGAGAGGGAGGGAGCCCACCUUCGGCCGCCAUCGAAGAGCCGCGGAGGGGCAUCGGAGGCCGGUGGGGGGCGGCGCAGCCCGGCGGGGGACGGGGGAUCCCGCGGGGGCGCUGCGGAGGCCGAGGCCGUGGCCGCGUCCAAAAUUUAGGAAUUUUUAAGUGAAGUCGGCAACCAAUUUGCCGACUUCACUUAAAAUCCCCAAAUUAAAAAACGUGGCCGCGGCCUCCGCAGCACCCCCGUGGGUUCCCCCGUCCCCCGCCGGGCUCCGCCGCCCCCCACCGGCCUCCGACGCCCUCCNNNNNNNNNNCUGAAGGUGGGCUCCCUCCCUCUCUUCCCCACGCUCUCUCUGGUUCUCUUCUUCUUUCCCGGUUCCGGCGGAGAAGAGCUUCCCGGUUUGUACCGCCCGGAGCACGGUACGAACCGGCCCGUACCGGUCUGCUAGGCAACCGGUACGCCUACCGGACUCGGUAUGGCGGACCUUGAUCUGUACAGCCCUAUUUGUCUCUCGCUUAAGAAUAAGAAUAGAUCAUGCAGCUAGUCCUGCAUAACAAUGACUAGUAUCAGUUCUGGAUUCAUCACUAAGGCAUUUUUAAGAGUUUUUGUUUUCAACCAUUUAGAUCAAAAUAGCUGAAUUUGGAAAAAUUGUGAUUCUUAGAGUUUACAUAAUACAUUUGAUAUGCAAUUUUUGUCAUGUACCAGCAUGAGUACUCCAUGAUUGUUGUAUGCAAUUAAUUUCUAAAGAGUGAUCAGGGUUCAUAUUUUCAGUUUUGAUAUAUAAAAGUUUUAGCUUAUUGGUAGGAUAGUCUUUUUGUAUACAGUCCAUGAUACCGUGACGAGAUUUCCUCCAUGUUGCUUUGAUUAAAUUUCCUCACAUUAUUCAACAGCACCAGAUUUAUGACUGAAUUGUCUUAUGUUUCUGGAUGACGCCGCUUUGUCAGGACAUGUUUAAUGUUCUUUUGAUAUCGAAUUCUUCAGACCUGAGACAGAUGAAGAGAAGAUGCUGAGAAUAGAGAUCAAUCAUCUGAAGGCACUGACUAACAAAACUGAGCAGAAUCAGAAUGGAAAAUCUGCACAGUUAUCCGCUGAAGACUUAUCCAGUCUACAUGAGCAGAUACUUAGCAAAGAGAGAGACCUGGAGAUGCUUAUACGUCACUUGGAUGACAAGGUAAGGUUUGGUCAAAGAGCUACCAGCAACAUCAGGCCUAGCUCUGGAGCUGGCAGUAGCGAUUCAUCCUCUACUAGGCCACCAUCUCAGUCUGGUUUGUCUGAGGAGUCAAGAAGCAUUGAUUUCACGGAUAGACCUCGAUCCCGUGGUGGCAUGGGAGAUAUCUGGUCCAGGCCUGUUGAUGAUAGACGAGGAUUUCAUGGGGGUAGAGAGAGAAGCUUCUUUGACAGCAGAAAUAUGGACAGGUAUAUUUUUUGCAGUUAACGGUCAUGGGCUUAUGUUGCUGCUACUUUCUUUCAUUCUGUGUGUCAGACUUUUGUUGAUUUUAUAUUCAGUUAGUUAUAAGUAAAAGUAUGGUCAGCUAGUGCCCUGGCACAAUUCUUUAUUUUUAACACAAGGAAUACCAUUCAAGUUUCAAGAUUGUGAAGUGUGGCGCAAUGAUAAGGUUGCUUCAUUGUAAUCUGUAGGUCAUAAGUUUGAAACACCGAAAUACCCUCUCAGCGCACAGGGAUAAGGCUACAUAGAUCUGACCAUCUCUAGACCCCAUAAUGGCUGCAUCCUUGCGCACACCAGGAAAAAAAAAAAGAAAGCUAGUUUGGAUAUUUUACUUAAAAACAUUUGGUGAUGUUGCAGCUCAAUUGCCUUUUUUUUUGGUUUUUUUUUUGCCCCUUAAAGGAAUGUCAUCUUGAUUGGUUGACCUUUCAGACAUCAUGCAUUUAAUGAUUUUUAUCCAUACAGUUGAGCAGUUCCCUUUGUGAUUUAUAGAGAGAGUUCUUAAGAAUCCAGUCAGCCAUUCAGUAAGCUGUUCUUUAAAGUCUAGUCUGAAGACAUGUUGAAAUGCCAAUGGGUGGGCAGUGUUUUGCACUUCCUUCUAAAAUGUGGGAGGAGGUUAUCUAUCGACUUAAUGGUGCAGCGCAUGUGAUGAGAAGUGUUCAAGACUCCAUCUUGUUCAUAAUUUGCUUUGCUUAGAUAGCCCAAGUUUGUGAUUUAAUAAUCAUGGUGCCAUUUCGUAAGUCAAUGGUGUUUAUUUGGCAUAUCUUUGCUAAUUCACUUUAUCUUAUUUUCUUUUGUUUCUCUCAUUUUCAGGUCGAUGUCUAGGGAGAGAUGGUGAAUGCUGCUGGUGUGAAUGCUUGGGUUGGGUUGUUUGUUUUUAUUUUAUUUAACAUCAGUAAACAUAGCAAUAACUUGUUCUUUUUCCUUUUUAAUCCUUGUUCAUUUUUGCUGCCAGAAAAUGUGGUGAUAAAUCACGGAUAAUGAUGAUAACAUUUUCUUCACAUUAUUUAUUGCUGCCUUGAUGCAGUGUAAGAUUUGCUUUUUUCCAUGUCAAGGCAAGUAGGCGGACUAUAAUGUAACCUAAAUUUACUUUGAUAGUCUAAAACUAUGUUUUGUCGUACUUAAAUAUUUUCUGCAACUUCCUGCUUCAUCGUAGCCUUUAAGAUGCUAUUCGUGAGCUAAUUCUACUUUUUAUCAACUCCCCUCCAGCCGUUUGCAUCUGAGUCCGGUUGGUGCAGAAAUCUCUUGGGUCAGCAAGAUGAAACAAAUGAGAAAAUGCUAUGGUUUCUUUAACAAGAGAUUUCUCAAGGCCUUUUUUGUUUUCUUCCUUUUUUUAAACUAAAUUUGUCAAGCUUUGUCCAAAACUUGAAUGGAAGUAUCGAAAUGGAGUUGAAUGUUGACAGGCUAUUGGAUUCUUUUCAAACUAGAAGGCAGCAAAGCUUGAACAGGGUCGCAUGAAUGCUUGUCAAUUUUAAAAUCUGAAGCAUCUAUCGGGAAGGCAAUGUGGUGGCGGACAAGCGCGCGUCGCAGGGACUGGAAGCGGAUGCUAAUUGGACCAAGGGUGAUUCUCUUCCACCCAGACUUUCUAUGUUGUUGCCAGCUGAUGCUUAUGGAACUUGUUUUGUAAGAACUGGAUUUGGGCUUGCCUCCUUUACUGUACCCAAAAAAAAGAGAAAGAAAGAAAACUGAAUUGCCAAAAUCUUAUGGUUUGUUGCAGAUUUGAAUGCAUGAUUCUUUUCUGUAGGCUUCUCUAUGACAAUUUCAGAGUUUGAUGACGGUUCCUAAUGAAAUCGAGGGCUUUCGAUGAGGUUGGGAGGGGCUGGAAGAAGACUAAAAAGUAAUACAAAUAUUUACCAUGACAACUACUCUCUGAAUGGCAUAUACAUUAGUUAAUAAGACAUCAUAAAGCCUGUUAUAUUUUAUAAAAUCUUCAAAAGGCCAAGGCCAUCCAGAAAAAAAUAUAGAGCAGAUGCAUCCAAAAAUAUCCGUGGCUGUAUCUAACUCCAGCGGUCAAUUAGGAUAAUUAUUCAUUCACGAAUUGUUGGGGGCGAAGGGCACCUUCAUGUCAUCCUUGCGAUGCUAUGCAAACUUCAGACAUGAAUUAGAAAUCUAGCGUGUAAAAAUCAAUCUAUCGUUGUUAAAACAAGUGGACUGCAUCCAAAUAGAUAUGCUACGAAAGUCAUUUUCAACCCCAAAAAAUUGUUUAGUAAAAAAGAAAAGCAGUCACUCCUUGGCCUUCUUCCUCCUAUCAGCCACGAAGAACAGCAGCAGCAACAGAACCGAGAAGGCGGAGAAGCACCCGGCGGCAAUAUCCAACGAGAGACUCCGGCCGGAGAUCCCCACGACCUCGAACAAAUCGGCAGCCUUGCGGUCGUCCGUGGUCUGGCCGUAGGCCACCACCUUGCCGUCGAAAUCGAGGACGUAUGCUCUAAUAAAGUAGGUGGCGGUAGGCAAUUCUCUGGACAGCUCGUACUCGAAGCUCGUCGAAUUAGUCGUGGUGUAGGGCCGGACGGCGACGCCGAACUGGCACGUCUUGUCCUUGGAGAGAUCGUCGUCUGUCUUUCGCCACCCUCGGUCGGCCUGGCUCGCCGGAGCGUAGCACAGCCUCACCUCCACCUCCUUGUAGGCCUCGUCAGCCCCCGCAGGCAGACUCCGGUUCAGGCCCCACGAUACCGUGAUCUUGUCCUCCCCAGCUCCCAACACUAGAAAGCACGCAAUUACGUGUUCAUCAUAUGUUAACAAAUCUGAAAUUGAAAUCCUUCAGGCGCAGUUGUUUAUUUCCCAGAAAACUAUUCUUUGCUUCCUCUUAUCUGCAUGCUUUUCAACACAUGAAAAAGAAAAAAAGAUAUUCCAAAAUCCAUCGGUCGCAUGAAAUUUUUCUCGGUUUCAUGAAGAAUAUGGAAUUUGUUAUCCGAAACUUUGUUGGUUUUGUUUGUAGUUUGAUCACAUCAGUGGAGAAGAGCGAGACAUAUACCUUGUAUCCCUGUUUGGGGGAUGCAGAGACCAUUAGAGUCUUAGGAAGAGUGGAGAAAAGCACUCCUCCAACAGCAGGGCCUGCAGAUGAAAUGAGGAGGAGGAGGAGGCAAGUUGCCGAGAAUGAUACGAGACCACACAUAUCUUCUUCUUCCUUCUCCGAGAAGGGAGGAAGAGGUGGAAGAAAUCCUAUUCUUUCUACCCUUCGGUGCUUCAUGUUUGAUUUGAAGAGUAGGCAGAGCAGCCGAGCAGGGGAACUUUUCAUUUAUAUCUGCACAACCCCAUGCGCAGUAAGAGGCCGAGGGGCCGGGAUAUCCAAAUUUGAUAAUUUAAUCCAAAUCGGAAACAAGUUCCAUGACACACAGCAGAUAUGGUAGCAAUUUUAGUUGCCCGUCGGAUGGCAACAGGAGUUGGGCUGCAAUUGUUAAAAAUAUCAAGGUUUUAGAAUAAAAUUCCUGCAUAAAAAAGACCCUUCAAGUAAAAGAAUUAGACAAAAGUCUCUUAAGCGAGCGCAAGAUUUGGAGAUUAAUAUUGUGAAAGAAUCAAGUUUACUUGAAUCCUCGGGGCAACUUGGCCCUUAAUUCUAGUUAGGGGAUUUGGAGAUUAAUAUUGUGAAAGAAUCAAGUUUACUUGAAUCCUCAGAGCAACUUGGCCCUUAAUUCUAGUUAGGGCGUAUUGCAUGGAUAUCUUCAGAAAGAUAAAAGUUGCAACUUCUGCAUGGAAGAAGGAUUCACCUUCCUUUUUGUGAACCCAUCAUUGAGAUCGCCCACUGCACAGAUCUCAAGGCACUCCAAACUCCACCUUCCAUUCAUUUGCAAUGAUCUCAAAGCGACCAGUGGAUGACCCAAUGGUUAUGUGAAGGUGAAUCUACCACCCAACCUAUGUCAGCAUCGCUUACUUGUCCAGGUGGAUAUAAUAAAUUCCCGAGCAAUACAAACAAGAGUUGAACUUAUAACCUAUGGGGGUGCUAUUUGCAAUUAUAGCGUCUUACAUCAAAUAGUAUGUGUCGAAUUUUUUUUAGCUUGUUAUUGCAAUCAAACAUACCUGCACCGUAUGCUCACGUUUCUCGUGUUAGCAGAUCGUGACUUACAUCGCCGUCUCUAUUACGUAGGUCAAUCAUAGACCGCCAUACCAUGAAAGUGUGUUCUAUCUCGAUCGAUAGUUGCAUCACAAAUCUUGUAUUCACUCUCCAUCGACGAAAUCAAAUUGCCGACAAAUUUGGAUGCAACAAUUAAUAUAACAACUACCUACAAGUUCACCUCCUUUGGCCCAAUCUAAAAAGUUUGCAGCAAACAUUGCUAGCUCUAAAAUUUUCAAACAAACAUGUUAGUUUUGCAUGAUUGUACAAUUGCACACAUUAUAAAAUCCAUAAAUGUUAAACUCUCAGUGACCACAUAGCAUUUGCAGAGUGGAGGUAUGUUAACCAAUUGCUUGCACACAUUAUAAGAUCCUUUCCUUACUCUUGGUGGGUGUAGGAUCUGCAAAGGCGUAAUAAGGAUUUGCUGCUUGGUCCGGGGCACAAAUCCAUGGAGAAGGCGCACCUCCGCAAUUAAACAUGCCCCCAACAAGGUAAGUUACCAUGGUGAGUCCACCCUUACCUCUGUCCUGGCCAUAUGAAUCCAAUAUUAUAGACCUUUCAUUCAAAUAUUGCAAAUAUAUAUACAUAAAGAGAAAGAAAAAUAUAUAACUACUACAUGGGCUGCCUUCACAUUUUCCCUCUUCUUGUUCGCAUGAUUGUAGUUGAACAAUUAAAGAGGAGAUUUUUUUUUGUCCACACUGAAUAAAAAAAUCAAAAGAUUCUAGCUUUAAUCACCAGAGUUGCUUCUUACUAAAGAAUCUUUUCAUACAAAUGAACCAUUCAAAGCCUUCGCUACGAUCAGAAGGAUAGAAGCCACAAUCCAAUUAACAGCCAUCUUAAGCAAGUUAAACAUUCACACAUUAAAAGGCCUGCCGAGCAUGUUUUGAACACAUUAAAUAUUCACCCUCAAAAUCUACAAUGUUGUUCACCUCGAACUUCACAUAAUUUUUUUUUAACAAAACUACAGAACAAACAUCCAAAUUUACAUUUGUAUGGUGUUACAUCGGUUAGGUUGACAGCUCUAGAACCCUUGCACCUAGAUCACCAACAAUACCAGUUUCCAGUCCCUCGGAAGCUGCAAACAGUAGACUGUAUGUACCUUGAAAGCAGGUUAAUAUCCCAUCCGCCGAUUUUUUCUUUCUUUUUUUUCCCCUUUGGUGGAAAAAUGGGCGCCCGAGGGCUCAAGAAACCUGCCUAUGACCUCCGAUGAAAGUCUCUCGUAAAGAAUGGGUGCCUGAGGGCUUCAUGAGCUGACAGUCUAUCGGAGGGCUCGUACCUGAGGAGACCUUGCAAGAGAUCAAUGAGAUCGCCUGCCGAGUGAUCGACAUGCUGCAUCACCAAGUUCUGCACAGGAAACAAAACCACAAUUGGAUAAGAGAGCAGAUCAAUUUUACAUUCAUAAGCACAAAACGUACGGAUCUGUUAAGAUCUCCAAGAUAUCCCAUGUUAAUUCAGCGAAUUCGAUUCGAGAAACAGUAAAUAUCUUAUCAUUCUUUCAAUUAUGCAAUCAAAAUGAAAACCCACAUCGAUUUAAAUCGCAAGCAGAUCUUACAGACUAGGGCAAUCCAACAAGGAGAAUUGUGGACACUCAAUCUGUAAGCUACCCUUCUCCACAUUGAUAAAGAAAACUUAUAAAAUAUGUUCACCAGUCACAGGCAACUCAUUAAGUGGUUUUUUAUUUUAAUUAGUUGAAGAUAGCAUUCAAGUUUCAACAACCCUUGCAAUCCAUACCUGAAGGCGAGGCAGCUUCUGAACAGCUCUGAUACUCUCUCUGGAGGUGGCAGCCUCCGGCCAAUUCAACCGAGAUCUUUUGAUAUAUUUCUCAGCAUGUCGGCUGAAAGUGAAGAACAAUUAAGAAAUGCCACACGAUUACACAGGUGGAGUUGAAUCAGAGAGAGGAGACUGCUUAUUCUGAAUACAGAAACAACAUAAUUUUGACAGCAUGCAGAUUUACAAAACACUUACUCAGCUCUUUUCAGCAUAUGCUGGGGCAGAGGACCUAAUACUCUCUCCAUCAUGGCCAGAUGUUCGAAAUUCUCGUGGGUCUGAAAAAGUGCCUCACCCUACAACAAAGCAUCAAGAGUUUUUUGUUUAAAAAAAAAAGAUUAUCAAUUGUUCAUGCCAACAAGAAUGAACUGCUGGUGAGAAGAAUAUAACAAAGAGAGCCUUGCAUACCGAGCAAAGUUCCACUAGAAUACAGCCUACACUCCAUAUAUCACAUGGAUAACUCCAUCCAAGUCCUGUUGGAAAUAUUUUCAAAAUCAAAUUAAUGCCACGUUUAUAGAGCAAAUAGGGAAAAUAAGAAAUCAAGAUAGCAAAAUGACAAGUACAUACCAAGAAUAACCUCAGGAGCCCUAUAAUGCCUUGUUGAUACUAUGUAGCUAUGAUCAUGGUGAUCAUAAAUAGUGCUUCCAAAAUCAAUUAACUUGAUAGCACUUGACUUAGGCAAUCUCUUGGAGCAUGAACCAUCAGGCACUUUGAUGUGCUCUGAUGAAACAAGAAGAAUGUUCUCGGGCUUCAAAUCAGUGUGAAUGAGGUUUAAGUCAUGCAUAACUGCAAGGAGGCAAAGGAAACAAGUAUUCUUAACACAUGGAAACCACUAAACGAUCUGAAGAAUAUGUGCAGGAACAAAACAAACCAGUGAAUUACACAAAAUAGGAACCCAAAUAUAAUGCAAGAACAAAACCAACUAUCAUUCAACACCCAGAAAGAGUGCCAAGAGAAGAACCCAAAAGCUAAAGAAGGGAGACUAAAUAGUAUACAGAAGCUAAUAACCAUCAAUGUAAAGCAAAUAUUUAAUUUGUGAAAGUAACCGUCUACACACAUGCAACAGAUUCCAACAGUUGUCUGGCAAGCUCCCGAACUAGAUCAAUGGGAAAUGGGCGAUAACCAUUUUUCCGUAGAAAAUCAUAUAAGCUUGGCCCAAGCUUCUCAAAUACCUGUUGAAAUCAUUUAGAUUCACCGACAACUUUAACCCCAAAAGAUAUUUGGUAAAUUGGGGAAGCUAUCAUAAAUCGAUCAUCAUAUACUUACAAUACAAAUAUGGUUACGAUAGUCAAACCAGUUCCGUAUUUGCACACAACUGCAAAAAUACACCCACUUAAACAGAUGUAACCUUAAACCUACUAAAAUACCAACAAAACACAAACCAACAGAAGACCUUCAUGGAAAGAAAUAGACGAAAGUAUGUCUCACCGGGUACCACCCCUAUCAUGUCUGCCAAGCUGUUGGAGCACAUCAAUCUCUAUCAUUGCAGCCUCCCGAUAUUUCUUGAUGGCACGGACAAUUUUUAUUGCUACCAUUUCUUUCUUUUCUCUAUCCCAACAUUCCAAGACCUGACCAAAGGUACCUGUCACAUAACAAAAGGACAUAUUUGAAAUAAGAAUACAAGCUAUUAAGAGGAAAUUAAAUAUAAAUAAAGCUCAGCUAGGAUACUCCAUCAAAUUACCAAUGAAGGAAUGAUGAGAAACAUAACCAUGCAGGAAGAAAACAGAUAUUACUAUCAAAAAACCAUCUAGGAAAAAGAAUAUAAAGGGAGCAAAUAAUGAAACUUUAUUACUGAAUGUUAUCAGGAGCAAAACAUCUACAAAAUAAAACAGAUGUUACCAUAAAAAACCAUCUAGAAAAAAGAAUAUAUGGGGAGCAAAUUAAGAAACUUUAUUGCUGAGGGUUAUUAGGAGCAUAGGAACUAACCUUCACCCAUUUUGCUGUAGAUUUUAUCUGCAACCAAAGCACAAGCAGAAGAUUGGAGUCAGAUGUGUGUAAACAUGGCAAAUAAAAGCAUAUUAUUCAUGCAAAACAUGCAACCAUGCACAGAAAACACACGAAAAAAUUUCUGAAGUUUACAGUUGCAACAAAAUCACGACGGAGAAGAGAUCAACAUAGUUUUAACCAUAAUAUGCCAUACCAAACCGGACAGUACCAAGCGUACCAUACCAUACUAGUUCGGUACUGGUACCGUACCGACACUCGGUAUGCUAAAAAAAAUUAUGUACCAUACUGUACCGAUAUUAUGCUAGUGCAACACCGGUCCGCUACCGAGAGAGCGAACCUUGAUUUGGACGCUUUAAAAUUUAAAAAAAAAUACAAAAACCAAGUUUUUAAAGGAAAAAACUUACUAAAUGCAAAAACAAGAAGCCAUAGAAAUGACAGCAGAGAAAAAAAACAUCAAGGGAAACAAAAUCAACAAAUGCAAAGUUUUGCAAAACUUUUCAGAAAAAGAGGAAAAAUCAACAGAUAAAAAAGAGGCCCUUUAGCUAUAUAAAAAAAAAUACAUUGGCAACUAGCUGAGUACAAGCACGAAAAGCAUACUCUAGCCACAGUAUUGAUACUAAAUUGUUUAGAUAUAAAAUUAGAUGUAUGUAAUAAAAGAAUAAAUCCAUGAGAACGAAAAAGAAUGGACAAAAAGAUGAUGCACUUUACAUUGGAAAGAUAGUUCAAAUCAAUACCACCAUAUCCUCUACUCAUGCAUCCAUAUCAUACAUAUUUCUAUAGAUAAUUUGAUCAUAAAUGCCAAAAAAGGAACAGAAAGAAGAAGAAAUGCAGCAAACCACCAAAACUGCUAGUGACAAACCGCCCACAGAAUAUAUAAGAUUUACAGUGGUAGUCAAGUGUAAUUACAGCGAGAGGUCAAAUUCUCUCCAAGCGCAAACAUGUAAUGCCCAUCUUUAUCAUCUUCUCUCCGAGGAGGGGACGCAUUUCGAGCCACUCCCUUCGAAUACAGAGAAGAAGAAGUAUGGUCUGAUGGUGCCCUCCAAGAUAUCAAGCUGGUCACAUCUCCAACUUCUUGCCCACAUAACAUUCCUAUCUGAGCCUACACAUAGCCAUCCAUUCAUUUUUUCCACUCAUCAAACAAAAUCAUGACUAAACUCCCUCCCUUACAUAUGUGUUCCCCAUGAUCCAAAUUGAGCAAUAAACAUGUUCUCAAUAGAAGUUACUUAACAUAAGCUAGAUUAAAAGGGAAACAAGCAUAAGAAACA